UCAAAUUUACACAUUGGGAAAUGUCAAUGUACUCCAAGCGAAGUAGCUCGCAAAUGCUAGCUGGAAGCGUCUGCAGUGCCGGACACGCGUAUAACCUUAGGAUCUGUAGAGAUUGCAGCCUUCCCAAAUCAGCUGGGAGCUGGUAUAGGCUGUGGCAGUUGGUUACGCUCAAGUUCUUGAGCGAAGGCAUUGUGCAAAUGCACGAAGGCAGCUGGAAUAAGUCAUCGCAAUGAUCGAUUGUGAGCUCUGUGAGCCGAGGAAAGGUGGAUUGAUCAAGGCUAUUACUGAUCUUGCAUAGGAUUAUAUAGAUUUUCCUCAGAUUUUUCAGGGGGAUGGUGGAUAACCGAGGGACAAAUACUUUUUCGAGCCAGAGGCUUCUCAAGUUGGUUAAGUUUGAGAAGACUGAAAAGCCAUUUAGGAUGCAAUUUGACGUACUGUAAUUCAUGAUUAUCAAUGCCCUCAACUUUGGCAUGUUUUCAAUGAAAGGAGGAAGAAGGUAAUCGUUGUCCGAUGAAAAAUUCAAAAUCAGCACUUCACAUUUGGGAAACUCCAUCUGGAACCAGUCCAUCUCUUUCAUUUCACCUGCAUUAUCGAGGGAUGAAUCGGUUUAAAUCAGCACGAAAGAGUAAACAUAACAAAUAACCUCAUAAUCAAUAAUGCAAUUACUGAGGCACGUUAAUACCGGUAUGAACUGAUACAAUCUUCGCGUGAAAUGGCUGAUCUGAAUCCCUCUCCCAUUCUCUUGGAAGUUCAGUCUCUCUUCUUGGCAUAAGCAAUCGACUGCGUUCGUUCACGCUGCCAUCAUUGCUCAAAUGAAGAGCAAGGUCCCUCAGCACAUCAUGUUGUGUAACAGAUAUGUCAUAGCAACUGCUAUAUAUGUCUCCAACUCUGCAACAUUAAUAUAAACAAAGGGUUCAAAACAGAAACUAAUCACACUCAAGUAAAAGAAAUCAAGUACCGAACUUUAUGCAUCGUACCUUGCAUCUUUCACCAGGGUGAGGAGAUUUUUGUUUGAAAGCUCAACAAGAAUAGCAAACGCUUCUUCUUCGUCGAUGCCAUGUAUUUCAACCCACAUAUUGGUAAGGACAUCAAGAGGGAUCUUCUUGUCUUCUGGAAACGCACCCAAAUCCAAGAAACAUGAUUUAACAUUUUUGGAUAAGCAGUCGAGACUCGUUGCCAUACGUUUAAGUAGAUUGUUCUCAUGGGACUCACAAAAAGCUUCCCCUUUCGACAACUUGCUCCUUGCAUUUGCCCAACACAAUUCAGGCUGGUCCUUCAGUGAAGCUCCAAUCACUUUGAGAGCCAAAGGAAGCCGCUUACACUCGUUAACAAUCUAAAGUUCAAGAAAACAAUCAGUUACCGAUCGAAGGAAACACAAAACAACCCAUUUUGAUUAGCAGAAAAUGGAGAUUGGAGACUUAUGACAACUUUUGGCAGUAGAACUUAGAAAGUGAUUAUGCAUUAUAGAAGCACUUUCUAGAGGUUUUCAAAGAAGCAAUUGUAUUAGCAAAAGCGCUUAUGAGCGGAAAGAAUUGCAAGCGGGCACUAAGAUAGUACCUGCUUGACCAAAUUUUUAUCAGCAGCAGGAGGAAUGGACUUUUGGCCAAAAGCAGAGUGACAAAACAGAGAGAGUGCUUCUUCUUCCCUCAACAACUCAACAUCAUAAGUGGCAUUGAGGACGGUUGGGAAUUUGAAACGUGAGACCACAAGAAACUUGCAGCCUGGGAUCUUAAAGAGCAGCGGCUCAAGCACUGCCAGUGACCACACAUCAUCCAAAACCACCAGAGUUUUCGUUGCGGUAAUCCAUUCAUAUUGCAAGUUCCAUUGGGGAAGCACAGAAUUGGGACUGAGAAUUUGGUUCCCCAUGAUGAACUGCACAAUCUUGGCCUUCAACUGGUUCACAUCUGGAGACUGUGAUACAGUCAGGAACAGAAUUCUAUCACUGAAAUAAGCUGCAUUCGAAUGGCGAUGAACACAAAACAGAGUCAGUGUUAAAUUCUAAAGAACUCAAAUUCAAGAGAACCCAUUAAAGACAAUUCAAGUUCUAUAAAACCCAUGAAAGAACAUUCUCAAAAGAAGCAAAACAAAGCAGAGUUUUGAAAAUUCAUCUAAAAACUCUUCUGACAAGAAUUGGCGAAAAAGUGAUUAUAUCAUCUGAAAAGCUUUUGAAUUUUCAAUACAAAUUUCAACUUGUUUGUAAUAAAAUAAAAGCACUUCUAGCAAAAUCGAUUAUGAUCACAAGUACGCAAUCCGAAACAUGCACUCAGUUACUUACAUCUGACUUGAUCAUCCUUGCAAAGCUCUCUAGCGAGGGUGGUUUUUCCAGAGCCACCAAUCCCACAAAUCCCAACGACCCUCAAAUCCUCCCUCCCAAAAAUCAUUCCCUUCACCGUCUUCAUCCCCACCCCCAAUCCUAACACCACCGAACUGCUCACCUCCCACUUCAUCUGCCCUUCCUCCUCCACCCUCCUCACAGCCUCCUCCAUCCACCCGCCACCGACACCCCCGCCCCCGCAAGUCCCAAUCUUUAAGGUCCCAAGCCGCUGUUCCAGCGUCCGGUUCGACCAAUCAAGCCGGUCGAACCGCUGAUCCAUCCCCGCCCUAAUGUGGUGGACGUCGGCCAAGAUAUGGACCUGUAAUGGGCCCUGAAGAAAUCUGGACACUGUCUUCUCCAAAGCCUCCAUCUUUUUCGCCAAUCGGACGUGCCUGUAAAAGUUCCAGCGCGGUGUCGCGAGGAUUUUUUGGACCAGUUCGAGGCCGUUCUGGAGAACUUCCGACAUGCGGUCGAGCUGGAACUGCCGUUCGGCCGGUAGCUCAACGCCGGAGUACUUGAUUUCUUGGAUUAUGGGGAGGAGCUGCUCGACUGAGGUUUUGAGUUCCUCGGCGAUUCCUCUGCUGUUGCAUGACUUGCGGGAGAGGGCGAUCAAAUUUUUCAGGAGCUCCGUCGUGAUCUCGCCGACGAAGAAGUCCGUCACUGCCAUUGUUGGUGGUGGUGGGAGCUGUGCGGCUAUGGCGGGUGAAAUGGUUUGUCUUGUUAUGGAGAGCGCGUUUCGACGAUGCUUCUCAGUUAUGCCCUCUGCCUUUUGAAACGUUGUUUUAUAAUUGUGACAUGCGUUUUUUUUUUUUUUAUAAAGAAAACUAAUGAAAAAUGUAUAAAUUUUUUUAAAUUUAACUAUAAAAGUAAAGUAAAAUGUAAAAUAAAUAGUAUCAGAAUUGACUUUUUAAUGUAAAAAUAUGAUUUUUCUUUAAAAUGAAUAAUACCAAGAUUUUUUCAUUAAAGUUCUAUUUUUUGAAUACUAAUCAACUAACUACUUAAAGAUUGGUUUUUUUUGCCAUAUGCCAUCACUUUCAUUUUACUUUUAUUAAAAUAAGUCAAAUUCUUUAAAUUUAAUUAUUUAAUUAUAAAUAAUUAUCUCUUCAAUGAUAAAAUUUAUUAUAAAAAUCAAAUUUGUUCUUAAUUAUCUUUUUUUUUUUGGUGCUAUUUCUUGUUCUUCUUCCGGCUUUAAACCCUAUUUAUAGAUUUUAUUUUUAAUUCUUAUAAGCAACAUAUAUCACAUGUUAAUUAUAUUUAUCUACCUAUAUGAUAGAUUUAUUUUUAUAAUCGACCUGUCACAUAUUAAUGUGUCUUACUUCUAUGUGUAUUAUGUUUUUCUACCUUUUAGUUGGGUUUCAUAUCUCGUUUAUAGGUAUAAUAUACAUUCGUAUAUUUUUACUUGAGUUAGGGUAUAAUGUUUUGCAAAUAAAUUUAUGUUAGUAUAUAUAUAUAUAUUAUUUUUUUUUGUUAUAAGAUAUUAAUUAGACUUUUUGGAGUUGAAAAAUACAUAAUAUUAGAAGAUUUUAAUUGAUUUUUAAUACUUUUAGAAAAUGUAAAAUGAGUAUAAAAGAAAUAAAAACAUGUAAAUAGAUAACUUGACUCACUUCUAAAAAUCAUCAAUGUUUUUGGACCUGGAUCUAAAAGCCCCAUGUAAAGAACAAUAAUAAAUAAGGAAAACUAAUUUAAAAAGUUUCAAAACUUUUAAUUUUAACAAAAAACCAUCCACUAGUUUUUUUUUUUUAAUGAUAAGGACAAAAAAAAAGAAAAAAAAAACCUAAAAAAAGUGCGUGCAACUCAAACCCAGUUGUUAACUCGCUCAUUCUCCUCCCAUCACUUCGUUUUGCAGCAGUCUCUUCUAACAAAUUUCACAUCCGAGUUUCCUCUCUAGCUUGGAAAUCAAGUACAACGCAAUCCAAACGCACUUUUAAAGGCCUUUGUUGAGCACUACUACGUACAUGUUUGAUGCCAACCGCGCGGCCAUGGCUAAUCUAUACCAGGAAAGCUCAAUGUUGAGCUUCGAAGGUCAGAAGAUCCAAGGAAGGCUCUUAUGUAUAUUUGUUUCAAUACAACAUGGAAUGUAUAUUUGAUUUGAUUUAGCUAAUCUAUGAUAUGGUUAACCUAUACCAUGAAGGCUCAAUGUGGAGCCUUGAAGGUCAGAAGAUCGAAGGGUCACAAAAGCAUCAUGGCCAAGCUUACUAGCCUCCCCUUCCAGCAAUGCCAGCACUACUGUGAUUUUGGCUAUGGUUUUGGUGAUUUUGGCUUUUGUGAUCGAGGUUAGUCAAUCUGCUAUAAACUUGAUUUUGGUUUGAAAAAUAGUCAGUGCUUAGUUUACGUAAUAGUAACAGUACUAGUUUACGAAAUAGUAAUAAUACUAGUGUUUGGUUUGAAAAAUAGUCAGCGCUUAGUUUACGAAAUAGUGAUUGUACUAUUACUUGGUUUAAUACAUAGUCUAUUUAGUUUACGAAAUAGUGAUGGUACCAGUGUUAGGUUUAAGAAAUAAUUAGUGUUUAGUUUACAAGGUGUUCGGUUUAAGAAAUGGUCAAUGUUUAGUUUACGAAAUAGUAAUAGUACUAGCGUUCAGUUUAAGAAAUAGUUAGUGUUCAGUUCAAGAAGUAAUGAUAGUAUUAGUGUUUGGUUUAAGAUUGUUGACCCUAAAAACUACCAAGCCUAUAUGGCGCUGUUUAGGCCCAAAAUAAAGUUUGGGCAGAGUAGAGAAUCAUUCUCGGCCCGGAAGGCCUUGCGGCAUGGAUCGUUCAGUACGUGGGCCUCCAAACCUAGGUCGGCUAGGUCAGGACGUAGGAUAAGUCAAGUCCUGGUGCAAUAAGGAGUCUCAGCAGGAUUAAUAACCCUAGAGCGAAUCCGACUCAAUAAAGGACUAGGUUCACAGUCAUAAUGAAAGUAGGAUUGGUCGAGUCAGUGUUUGAUUUGGGAGAAGAAGUCCUAGUCCGAAUGGGGUUUUAACUCGACCUUGGGGGGAGCCGUUGCUAUAAAUAGAAGAGGUCGUGCAUCAUUCGAGCCCCCUACAAUUCAACACAAAACUGCCCUGCGCAAGCUUUCUCAACAACUUUGAGAUUUUUUCUUUUCUUUUCUCGCUGACACAUCUUCCGUUGGCAUCAACAGCACUGUGGAAGCAACCGGUGAUAUCUUAAGUCGACAUAGAUAGCUCUGUCAUCGUAGAAUCAGUCGGUCUCGCAGUAUCUUCUGUUGGCAUUAACAGCACUGCGGCGAGGACGGUUGGUUACCUAUCCAAGUCUCGAUCGAGAAGGAUUUCCGGAUCCUUAUUGAUUGAGGUCAUCUCAUUAGCCUCCUCGACGAAGUGAGGUGUUACAGUAUAUCGAGCUCGGUGCAUUGCACGUCGAGUUAUUUUAUGAUUGGGUAUUCCCAAGUGGGAUUUAGAGUUCGGCAUUCGGACGGCCGAACCACGUUCACCAUUAAAACUUAUAUUUGCUUUGAGUAUUUGUGCCCUUACACUUUGGUGUCGAUUCAGCGUGAGUUUGCUCUGACGAAUAACAUCACUGUGACUGAAUCCGACGUCGACGACUCGUGAACUUCGUAAGAAUAGUAACCUUGUCUUCAGGUUCAAGAACCCAAGAGGCCGAGACGAGUUCCUUCCUCGAUCGCAAUCGCAAGACACAGGAGUUAGUCGCGCACCCAACGCAACAUCAACAAAUUUACUCCUCGGCCAAGCUCGGCUGACGAGUUGGCACGCCCGCAUUCACCGAAGGACGUAGUUAGCUUAUAGAUUACUCGGCCUGCGCGCCACGUAGGCUUGGUAGUUUCUAGGGUCAACAGGCGCGCAUGCUGAGUAAUCUAUGAGCUAACUACGUUAUUCGGUUGAAUGCGGGGCGUGCCAACUCGUCGACCGAGCUCGGCCGAGGAGUAAAAUUUGUUGAUGUUGCGUUGAGUGCGCGACUGACUUCUGCGUCUUGAUAUUGCGAUCGAGGAAGGAACACGUCUCGGCCUCUUAGGUUCUUGAACCUGAAGACAAGACUACUAUUCUUACAAGCUCACAAAUUGUCGUUGUCGGAUUCGGCCACAGUGAUGGUAUUCGUCAGAGUAAACUCUCGCCGAAUCGACACCAAAGUGUAAGGGCACAAAUACUCAAAGCAGAUAUGUGUCUUAACAAUAAACAUGGUUCGGCUGUCGGAAUGCCGAACUCUAAAUCCCACUCGAGAGUAUCCAAUCAUAAACCAACUCGGCUUGCAAUGUGCCGAGCCUAAUAAACUGUAACACCUCACCUCGCCGAGAAGGCUAAUGAGAUGACCUCGACCAAUAAGGAUUUAGAAAUCCUUCUCGACCGAGACUUAGAUAGGCAACCAACCGUCCUCGCCGCAGUGCUGUUGAUGCCAAUGGAAGAUGUUGCGAGAUCGGCUGAUUCUACGGCGACAGAGCUGUCUAUGCCGACUGAAGAUAUCACUGGUUGCUUUCACAGUGCUGUUGAUGCCAACGGAAGAUGUGUCAGCGAAAAGAGAAAAUAAAAAAUCUCAAGUUGUUGAGAGAGUUUGCGCAUGGCAGUUACGUAUUGAAUUGGAGGAGCCUUUACUUGCUGCAACUGCCUCUGUAUUUAUAAUUCACCAGUAACCCUAAGAUUGCCGUCGUAAGUUGCAAAAUAAUAGGAAUUUUCUCUUUCAAAUAUGCAUGAUCCCGUUUGGCGUGGCCUGGAUGAUUUUGUAGAAACCAACUGAAACUCAACUCUCAAAAGCCUACACCUACUUAAAGUUCUUAUUGUUCCAAAUAUCCAUGCUGAAUGAAUCUAGCUCCAUAAAGAAAACAUAAAAUGGCCCAACAUACAAAAGCAUAUACCAAUAUGCUAAAUGAUUUAGUAUAAAAUACCCAUUGUUAAUUGUUAGCAAGGCAGUUGCUGCCAUCUUAUCACCAACACGUGUAGACUCAUUUUCAAAACACAUCACCUAUUUUUACUUCACCCUUAUCACAUGCAUGCAUAUCUGUUGAGCAAAACCAAUCCAAACCACAUCCAUACGCCAAACAUCCAAAUCAUUUUGGAUUGUGCUGCUUGUUUCCAGCUUAGGGAUACAUUUUCCCUCUUUCAUAAGAAGAUGUUGAGAUAAAUUAUUAAAAGAUAAUUAUGAUAAAAACGAUAACUUUAAAAGUCAUUAUCUUUUAAUAAUGACCUUUAUUUUUUUGAUCCAACAGUCGGGAGCUAUGUUCACUCAACGGCCUUGAUUUCACAGGCCGAUAGUGUAAAUUUGGGUCCAAACAAAGAUAUAGUUAGUAUUUAGUUUAAGAAAUAUUGUUCAGUUUAAGAAGUAGUCAAUGUUCUGUUUAAGAAAUAGUAUUCAGUUUAAGAAGUAGUCAAUGUUCUGUUUAAAAAGUAGUCAAUGUUCUGUUUAAGAAAUAGUGACAAUAUUAAUGUUCAUAUAACUGAAUAAUGAAAAUUUUCUUUAUUUUUGAUCUUGUAAUAUUAUUACUUAGUUUGUUCUAAAACAAUUGAAAGAAUAGUCAAAUAAUAAAAUAAAAAUAAGAAAUAAAAUUGUUUGUGGAGUGAGGUGAAAGGAGAGAGAAGAGUGGGGAGAGGUUAAAAAAAAAAAAGAUGAUGUGGAUGGGUGAGGUGAAGGGAAAGAGAAAAAUUGAUGGGAAUAUAUGAAUGAGGGAGAGAGAGAGAGAGAAAGAGAUUGAUCGGUUAAGUGAGAAAAAGAGUGUAUGUGUGUGAUGUGAUGCGCGGUUCCGCGUGUUGAUGCAUGUUUUUUAUUUUUAUGUAAACUUUUUGUCAUUUUCAUUAAAAUUUGAACAUUUUUUUAUAUUAAAGUUUAAACCUUUUUUAUUAAAUAAAGUUAGUCGAUAAUUUUUAGUUAAUUAAAAGUUUUGAGAAGCCAUUUUCAUUAAAACUCCCUAGUAAAUAAUGAGAUGAAGAGCUCAACCCCUCUUCCUCCCUUCAUUUUCCUAUUCCUACCCCAACCCGAAUUCUCCCUUCCCCCUUCUCACUCUUUUCUCCGAUUUAUCUCGCCUUUGUCCCCUCCACACACACACCCCCCCCCCCCAUCCAAAAAAAAAAGGAACUUUAACGAAAAGCUUUCAGUACUGUUCACUUUAACGAAAAACCACAUUUUUACACUAAAAAGUCAAUCCUGCUACUAUUUACUUUACCUUUUAUUUUGUCUUUACCAUUAAAACUCAAAAUUUUCAAACCCUUUUCAUUAGUUUUUCUAAAAAAAAAAACUCUCAAAAAACUCUUUCCAUCCCUUUUUCUCUUUCUAAUUUUCAAUUGCAAUAGAAAAUGUGGUUAGAAUUUUCAAUUUUAAUGUUAUUGUGUUGAAUAUAAUUAAAUUUGGGCGGGGAGAUAGAUAGAGAGACAGGAAUAAAAGGGAGGAAGAAAACAAGGGCAGCAUAUGUAAGAAAAAGAGGUGCCACCAGCGCAGGUUGUGCCUGAUUUAUUGCGAUGGCUGGGGUGGGUGGCGUUAUUUUUAUUUUUUCAUUCUUUUUGUUUUUACUUUUUUUUGGUUGUUGUUGAGUUUUUCAGUCUUUUUGUUUUCACUUUUUACAUCUUAAGCUAGUAGGGAUAGUUAGGGAAUAAUGGUGGGUUGGAAGAUAGUUAGAUUUUUUUGUAAAUUUUAGGGUGGGUGAAAUUAUAAUGUGGGUGGGAAAAUAAGAUAAUGAGGUGGGCCUAGUAUCACUCUUUUUUUUAUACGAGCGAUAGUGGGGGAAGGGGAGUUGGAUUCUCGUAUGCAAGGAUGUAUAUUUUGACCAACUAAGUUGCAUGUCAUUUGCUAUCAUAACAGAACCACGAGUAUUUUAAUGAUCUUAUAUAACCCGAAUAACUUACUCAUUUUGUAAAGUCAUCUCCAACCUAAGGAGCUAAACAUAGCCCUGUCUAGAAUUAUAGGCCUGCAAAAAAAUAUUUUUAAAUGAAUAUUGUCAGGCCAUAUUCAUAUACCAUCUCCAACCGAAUUUUAAGUUUGUAAUAAUUUUUCGAACAUUCUAUCCAUUUAAUGUCUCCUUUAAGCCUUUGUCAAGGCUUGAUGCCAUUUGUUCAACCUCGGUUAAAGUUGUUUUUCCAUUAGGGGACUCACAUUAUUUUUCGAACAUACUAGUCCAAGGCCUUCACUUGAUUGACAAAUACCCUUGACACUAUCUUCAGAGAUCUACCUAUAAGCCCUGGAAAGAGCUUCAUCUUCUUUUGGGUCCAACCUUUUCCUUUGGUUGAAAAUGUAACCAUUUAAAAAAAUAAUGGAAGAUGUAAGCUAGAAAUUCUAGUCAUUUAUGCAGCUAUCAAUGGAUGAUGGAAAAACCAGCUAGCUCGGAUGCUAAGAAACAACGUAAGAGAAAACGUCUUGACAAACAGUUAUUUCAGACCUACGUUAAAAGCUUUCGACAUAAACAGAAAUUCAGACUCGUGUAGAGGAAUUGAUCCGAAAAGGUGUUACAACACUAAGGUGCUCUUAGCUCCUGAUCAUUGGCACUUAGUACGAACAACUACCUUAGCACUACAUUUUGACUUUCUGAUUGGAGUUUAACACAAGUAGAUCGUUACCUAGGGCAGAUGCUGGAAAACAAGGUGGUUAAAAGAGUUCUUGCUCCAAAAAAAGAAAAAAAAAAGUAGUUCUUACCUUCUUGUACGAGUAGUGAAGAACUAUACAGAGCUGUGGGUUGGUUGUUGACCAAGGGAAAGCAUGGGAGAAAAAAGGAGAGUGUUGCGGAAGCCCCAAUCCUUAAUAUACCUUGAUCGAUAACACCAAAGUUAUUGGAAGGGUAAUAGAGGUGUGUGUAUGAAAAGAGUGUUUGAGGUGAAUAGAAUGUGAAAAAUUGGAUUAAAAUGAGGUAAUAUGGUAGACAAGGGUGAGAAAUAGUGUACAAAUGUGAUAGGUAUUUAUAGGAGGGUGUUGCGGAAACCCUAAUCCUUAAUAUACCUUGACCUGUAACCCUCAAAGUUAUUGGAAUGGUGUUUGGAUCCGAUUUUACACCAUCGGCCUGUGCAAUCAAGGUCGUCGAGUGAGUAUGGCUCCCAACCGUCGGAUAGAAAGAUAAAGAUCGUUUUGUUAUUAUUAAAAGAUAAUGUUAUGAUUUUUAUCAUAAUCUUUUAAUAAUAAUGUAUUAUGAGAGAUCUCCAAGCUGGGAAUACGGUGGCAUAAUUCAAGUCGAUCUGGAUGUUUGGCGUAUGAAUAUGUGGAUGGGAUCAGUGUGGAUGAUUAGUAUGCUGCAAAUUGCUUAUUAUAUAUUUAAAUAUGGAUAAACAUUUUGGUAUAGGUGCCAGGAAUUAGCAUCCCGAGGUGGUGGUUUAAAUGAGGUUUGAAAAGUCAUGGUGAAUGGAGCAGAUAAAUAUGGAUGCAGAUGGGAUAAUUAUCAUUUAAAGUAUACAUGGGAUAUGCCUAUUUGAUGUUGUGGUUUUGGUCACGUGGUGUGCUUUUUGGGAUUAUUGUUAUCCGUGCAUGGCUACACAUGGAUCGAUGUGAUGGAAAUUGAGUUCUUGUUGGACUAGGAGUCUGAAGCGGAGUCAGAGGAUGAUAGUAUCUGAAGGAUAUGCUUUCAUUUACUUUGAGAGAAGUCAUUGACGCUAGUGAGUUUGAGUUGAAAUCAAAUACUAACGUGAAGCAGCGCCACAUAACAUUUUCUCCUAUAAAUACAAGACACCAUGCAACUAUUCAAAGCCUCCCAAUUCAACACACAAUUGCUCUGCACAAAUUCUCUCAACAACCUUGAGAUUUUUUCUUUUUUCUUUUCGCCGACACACCUUCAGUUUGGAUAAACAGCACUGUGGAGACAACCAGUGAUAUCUUCAGUUGGCAUAAACAACACUGUCGUCGUAGAAUCAGCCGAUCUCGCAGCAUCUUCAGUUGGCAUAAACAGCAUUGCGUCGAGGCUGACUGGUUACCUAUCCAAGUCUCGGUCUUGAAGGAUUUCUGAAUCCUUGUUGGUCGAGGUUAUCUCAUUAGCCUUCUCGGCGAAGUGAGAUGUUACGAGUUACUACAUUCGGCACAUUGGAAGCUGAAUUUGAUAUUGAACUUCGCUAAGUUAGUAGCCUUGUCUUCAGGCUCUAGAACCCAAAGGCCAAGACAAGUUCCUUCCUCGGCCACAAUCGCAAGACGCAGAAGUCAGCCGCGCACCUAACGCAACAUCAACAUAUUUUACUCCUCGGCCUAGCUCGGUCAACGAGUUGGCACGCCUCGUACACAACCGAAGGACGUAGUUAGCUCAUAGAUUACUCGGCUUGCGCGCCUGUAGGCUUGGUAGUUUUUAGGGUCAACAAAUAGUAAGAGAGGUGUGUGUAUGAAAAGAGUGUUUGAGGUGAAUAGAAUGUGAAAAAUUGGAUUAAAAUGAGGUAAGAUAGUAGAUAACGGUGAAAAGGAUGUGAGAAAUAGUGUACAAAUAUGAUAGGUAUUUAUAGGAGGGUGUUGCAGAAGCCCUAAUCCUUAAUAUACCUUGAUCGGUAACCCCCAAGUUAUUGGAAGGGUAAGAGAAGUGUGUGUAUGAAAAGAGUGUUUGAGGUGAAUAGAAUGUGAAAAAUUGGAUUAAAAUGAGGUAAGAUGGUAGGUAAGGGUGAAAGGGAUGUGAAAAAUAGUGUACAAAUGUAAUAGGUAUUUAUAGGAUUUUUUUUUAUUUUUUAAAUUUCGCCUGAAAAACGAAAAAGAAUUCCAACGGCUAGCAAGCGUCAGCUAGCCGUUACCAGAUAACACCAUUGCUCUGUUGUUCCUAGCCCAACCGUUGGAUGCUUUUAAAUCCAACUAUUGGAUUUAAAUCAAUUAUUGAAGCAUGGCAGCUCGGCGUUGGGAAACGGGUUGGAAGAUAGGUUGCAGUUAGCCUGCCCGAUGCCUUUUGGUCAAAUAAUGGUCUGGUCGGCUCCAUAGAUUUAUAAGCUAGCCAUCCAUUGGAGAUGAAUUUUUUGUUAAAUUAGGUCAUUUUUUGGGUUUUAGACCUUUAACCCUCUUCAUUGGAUAUGACCUAGUUCGUUUGAUAUAUCACUUUGUCAUGAAAAGGACUUAUAAGCAAUGGGUUCAGUGUGGCGUCAUGUUCUAAUAAAACAAUGACAUAUAUAAGAUUUUCAACACAUGCAUGGACGACACGUACCCCAUUAACUCCUAAAUAAAUUGCUCUCCCUUGUUAUAUUAAGACUUACAAUUUUGGUGAUUAAUAGAAUCUAUGCUUCUAUAUAUAGUAAGUAGCCAUUGCAUUCAUAGCGAGUGAUACUCGAGAAAAACCUUUUUAUCCCAGUGUCGCUGCCAGAGAAAUAUAGUAAGUGACACCGGAGAUAUCUAUUUUUACAAACAUGAACCCUACAAUUGGUGAUUAGCUUAACGUUUUGGUUUAUUUCAUUUGACCUAUUCUUACUAACAAAAGUCCUCAAAUUAUUAUAAGAUAGCUUUGUUAGCUAUAUGCCAUCACUUUCAUUUUACUUUUUUCUUUUGUAUACAAGUGAAAUCAUAUAGUGGGUCAAAUUUUCGUUGGAAUAAUAAAUGCUUUUGAUCAAACGAGCUACAUGACUGUCAUUUAUGCAGUUUACUUGAAAUAAAAAACUUCUGUAGAACAGUAAAACCACAUAUAUCUUGAGGGUCUUAAUUAACCCAAUAAUCUCGCUCAUUGUGUGAGUUGCUUUGAUAUAUCACUCCAUGUCAUAUUAUACAAUUUUGGUAAUUAAAAGGAUCUUUACUUCUAUAUAUAGUCACCCUUGCAUUUUCAUAGUGAGUGGCAUUAAAGAAAUUUGUGUGUCCCGGUGGCACUGUAGAGAGAGAGGAAGAAGAGGGCAGUGACACCGGAGCAAGGACAUACUACAAACAUGAACCCUACAAUUGGUGAUUAGCUUAACAUUUUGGUUUAUUUCAUUUGACCUAUUCAUAGUGACAAAAGUCCUCUUGUUUGCUUGGAUGAUUGGCUCUCUCACCUAAUAUGCAAGUUAUGCGAUGCAUAUGGAGCUCUAAACCCUAAUGCAAAACAAAGACUUCCAAGUAAAUGAAUAUCACUCCGAUUGCUUUUUGACGUUGACGUGCUGCAGGGAAAGAUGCGAUGAUGAAUGUGCUUGAUUGCUUUUUUACUCUGCCAAUAGUAUGUGUACGACUGUCAUAUUUUUCUCUAAUGCUUGACGACUUUCUAGAUUGAAACCAGAGUAUAAUUUGAUUACCAAUACCAUACCUCUGAGCAAGGACAGGAUGGUCAUUUUGUUAGUCAACGAGAAUCGCCAUUGUUAUUUUGGGUCAGGGUGGAGGAAACAUUGUCUCCACUUGCAGCUGAGAUUGCUUCCAUUACAUUAUUGAACACUGGUGGUAUGGUGCAGCAGAGAAAGGCAAUGGCAGCAGUACCACUGCCAUAUAUCCUACAAAAUGGUGGACGUGCUGGACGAGUGGAACACUGACGUGCUGAAACAAGAAGUUGAGCAGCACGAACGAGAAGCUGACAAUGUUGAUCCUAAGAGCAAGAAGAAGAAGCUAACUUUCUGUGUCACCCCUAGUUGCUUUUGUUUUCGAAAAGCAAGAGAGGUAACUUGAAUGAGAGGUUGUGUGUGAUUAAUUGAUGAGCAAAGAAGAAACGCUCUUGUGUUUCAACCCAAUGAGAACGAUAUUCAACAAGUACCUAAACAACAAGAGACUUCUCCCUUUGUCGACAUGUCUAAGGUGUUUGGCCGAGAAAACGAAAAAGAUAUGUUUUGAUAACAAAGUUGUUAAUUGAUGGUAGAGAAGAUAGGGUGAUCCUUAUCAUCCCUAUUAUUAUGAUGCCAAUGUUGACGCCUGUUUGAUAAGAAAAUAUUGGUUUGUGUACCCUUUUUAUGAGAUUAAGAUUGCCGAGCCAUAAGCCGUGAUAACACGCCUAGUUCAAAUGAUCAGUUGAGCCAUGUCUUAGAAUCUAUGUCAACAUCCAUCGACGGCAAGAGGUUUCUCAUUGUCCAAGAUGCCGUGUGGACCUAUGACCAUGAAAAGUGGGACCAGUUAAGGGUAUCACUUAUUUAAAGUGGUGUUAAAGGCAUUAGAAUAUUGGUAACCACAAGACAACGAGAUGUUGUAGAUAUAAUGAGAGCAACAAGUGACAAAGAUGGAAUUUGUCUACUUUGUUUUUUCCCUUGCAUCUUUGUUACUCUUACUUUUUUGUUAUUGAUCAUUCUGGGAGAGCUGAGUAAAGACUAUUGUUUUUAAUCUUCAACCACAUGGUGUUUUUUUCUAGGCAAGUAGAUGAGUUUAAGGCGUUUGAAGAGAUUAGUAAAAAAAUGGUAGAUAUAUGUAAAGGUUUGCCUCUCACCGCGAAAGAUUUAGGCAAUCUCAUGUGCAACAAAUGAGUGAAUGACUAUUUAUCUUGAAUAGUAAGAUAUGGAAUUGAAAAGAGAUGGAGCAAAAAGUUUUCCAACCACUAUUUCUAAGUUCUUAUGAUUUGGUCAACAGUCAAAUAUUGUCUUUCAUGUUGUGCUAGUUUUCUUAAAGAUUAUGAGUUUGAUAGAGAUAACUUAGCUAAUAUAUAGAUGUCGCAAGAUUAUUUUAAUUCAAAAUAGAAUAAAGAUAAGAAAGAAAUUGGUCAAGCAAUUUUUCAUAACUUAGUAGCAGAGUCUUUUCAAGAUUUGAUGAAAGAUAGUGUUUUACCAUUAUAGGUUGCAAAUUGCAUGAUAUUAUUCAUGACUUUGUGCAAUCACUCACUAAUAAUGAAUGUUUGAUCAUCAACAUUGAGGGUGUUAUAGAGGUUUUGGAUGAAAAGGUUUGCAUUUGAUCGUAAUAAUGGCAUCAAACAAUUGCCGACUUUCACCUUCUAAUGCUUAUUACAAUGAUGAAAUAGUUAAAUAAUCUUUAUAUUACGUAAAUCUUAACAAUAAUGAUUUAAAAAAUGAACGGCUGAGUUUAUCCACGAGCUUAAAUUAUUCUAUAACUUUUCAUUUUGGGUGUAGUGGGCUAAGGUCGUAUUAGGGGGAGGGGAUAAAGUGCUUCUGUGCUUGUCCUAACUUUUGGCUUCAGGUUAAAGUGCUUGUGAAAUAAGUCAUUUUGCUGCUUCUUAGGCCUGGUUUGGUACUGAGAUGAUUCUGAAAAAAGCUGGUAUCAAAAAAAGCUUGGAGCUUUUUUUGUGUUUGGUAAACAUUCAGCUUCAGCUUUUUUUCAAAGUUUUGGAUGAAAAAAAGCCAAAAACAAGAAUCUGCAAAACCCAGCUUUGAAAAACCGGUUUUUUUUCACUUCUGUUUUACAUAAAAGUUUACCAAAUACUAUAAUACUGUUUUUUUUUUUUUCAAAAGCAUUUUUACAAAAAAGUUUACCAAAUACUCUACAGCUUUAUUUCACAGCCGCUUAUUCUCACAGCACAACAUAAGUAGUUUUUUUUCAAAGCACAUAAAUAUCAAAUCAACCCUUAGCCACCUAUCAUUAGCUGGCCGUCCCUAAAGAGGGCACUUGCGACGACUUCUGAAGUCUUCAAAGAAAACAGAACCACAGAAACACCACAUGUAGAAUUAUCCUCUACUUUUGUCCUAUUAUUUGAAUUGACAUUUUUGUGUUCAAAGUUUAAGACUAGAAAAUCCAUGCGAUUGAAAAGGGAUUCGGACUCUUAGUUUAUGUUAGGUGGACUAGUAAAAUGGACUAAUGGGAUUGUAUGGUUUAAAAUGAGUGAUCCAGACUCCGGAGCUCCAGACACAAAUUUACAGAGGAUCUCAAUUCCUAUUAUUUAACUUCAUAUGAACAAAUUAUUUACAAUUUCCAUCAAAGUUUAUACAAAUUAACAUUGACCAAUGGAACAACAAUUUGCUCAUUCAUCGAGCCAGUCCAGAUCGAAAUGUUUCUCCACCCCCUGAACAUGAAGCUCCGGCAAUGCCUUCUCUGCAUCUCUCCACAUCCAAGAAAUAUCCUCGUCGCACACUACACGGCGCAGAGACUGUAACGCUGCAGCGGAUUUCGGCAGAUUGCUAAUUUGUGAACAUUCCCUUCAUGUCAAUCUUUUCCAAACUUGCUAGCUUACCAAUUUCCAUGGGAAGGCAUCUCAAAUUUACACAUUGGGAAAUGUCAAUGUAUUUCAAACGAAGUAGCUCGCAAAUGCUGCGCGGAAGCGUCUGCGGUGCCGGACAUGCGUAUAGCCUUAGGAUCUAUAGAGAUUGCAACUUUCCCAAAUCAUCUGGGAGCUGGUAUAGGCAGUUGGUUACGCUCAAGUUCUUGAGCGAAGGCAUUGCGCAAAUGCACGAAGGCAGCUGGAAUAAGUCAUCGCAAUGAUCAAUCGUGAGCUCUGUGAGCCGAGGAAAGGCCGAGUGAUCAAGGCUAUUACUGAUCUUGCAUAGGAUUAUAAAAAUUUUCCUCAGAUAUUUCAGGGGUAUGGUAGAUAAUUGAGGGACGGAUACUUUUUCGAGCCAGAAGCCUCUCAAGUUGGAUAAAUUUGGGAAGACUGAAAAGCCACCUAGGAUGGCAUUCGAUGUACUGUAAUUCAUGAUUAUCAGGCAAUCUUCAAUCGAUGGCCGGCCAGAUGACUCGUUUUAGCCAUCUGGCCCUCCAAGAUUCUCCAAGAUAUUAAUAUUUUAAUAAACAGUACAUGGUCAUAUUUGCCUCCGUCUCCAACAGAGGGUCAGAGGGCCAGAGGGCUCGUUUUAGCCAUCUCACAAAAAACCGUCUCCAACGGAGGGCAAAAGGCUAAACAUAAUUUAUUAUUUAAAUUUAAAAACUACAACUUAAAUUUAAAAACAACAAUAACUUAAAUUUAAAAACUACAACUUAUAUUUAAAAACUACAACUAAAAUUUAAAAAUGACAAAUUAAAUUUAAAAACCACAACAACUUAAAUUUAAUAUCCAUAAUCAUUAUUAUCUUCAUCAUCCACCAUCGUAGGAGUAUAGUCUGUCACAAACAACUGCCGUCGGCUCAUAAUUUCUUUUUUUUUUCCUAUCAAAAUAGGCCUUACUCAUUGGAGUAUAAUUCGAAGUGUUCAUUUCCAUAUUCUUAUCAUCUAUCUCUUCUUGUAUUUGCUUGGCCCGUUUUUCAUGCCUACACUUCCUUUCUUCCGCCUUAAGGGCAUUUUGCUCCGCCAAUAAUCGCAAUGAGGCCGCUACUUCAUGUUGAGCGGCGUAAUCAGCAUUUGUCUUGCCUUUUUCCCUCAACCUUCGGGCCUUGUUUCGUCCCAUAGCCCUAGGUAAAGAACUUUCGGACAGAGUUGGAUUUUCUACCCUUAUUUGUUGAAUGGUAGGAGAUUCAUCUUCAUUCAUAGCUACAGAUGGGGAUGCAGCUCCCAAAUGAUCCACUCUAUGUUGAGGUGAAUCUUCAAAUAACACCCACCCUUUACAAAUUUCCCAAUAACCGUGAAAUUGAAAGGGUUUUGAGCUGCCCUCCAUAUACAAUUCCUCCGCUUGGCGUACCUAGAAAAUAUAAUUACAAAAAUUUUAGGAAAUUAAUUCAUUAAAUUAAAUGUAAUAUAAUGACAUAUAAUUACAAAAAUUAAAUGUAAUAUAAUUAAACAUUUAAAAUAAACUGUGAAAACACUAACUUCGUCAUAGUAAUUGGCGCCGCUUUCAAGUCUACUUGCGGCUGCUAAUAGUGCUUGAUGCCAUUUAUUCAAACUUGGAUGAAGAUGUUUCUUCCAUCUUGAAGAACAACUUUCGUGGUUUCAGGUAUUCGGUGGAAUGGUGCCUUCGUAGAACUCUAUGUAUUUUUUGAUACACGAGUCCAAACACCUUCACUUGUUUGAGAAAUCCCCCUCACACUAUCUUCUGAGACCCAUCUAUAAGCCUUGCAAAGAGCUUCAUCUUCUUUUCGGGUCCAAUCCCUACCUUUCAUUGUAGAUGAGGCCUUUUUUUUGAAAAAAAAUGAAGGAAAUUAUUGAAAAAUUGAAACAAAUAUUAUAGAUGAAGGAAAUAUUGGAAAAUAUAUUGAAGGAAAUAUUGAAGGAAAUAUUGAGAAAUAAAUUGAAGGAAAUAUUGAGAAAUAUAUUGAAGGAAAUAUUGAACAAUAUUGAAGGAAAUAUUGAACAAUAUUGAAGAAGGAAAUAUUGCAAAUGAAGUGAAGAAUUGAAAGAACUUCACCAUAUUUAUAGAAGAAAAGAAAUGUUUAAAUGAAAAAAAAAAAACCCAAUGGCUAGCUGACUCAGCUAGCCAUUAUAUUAAAAAAAAAUUCAAACUAUUAAUGUCGGUUAUAACCGACACUAAUAGUAAAUAAAUUUUUUUUUUUGCCUAUGAAUACCUAUUACUGUCGGUUAUAACCAACAACAAUAGGAAAACUAUAAAAAAAAAAAAUAAAAAAAAAAGCCAGCCAGCAGCCAGCCCUUUGGCCCUUUGAAAUUCCGUGGGGCCCUCCCAGAUUCCCGAGCCCUCUGGCCUAACCCUCGGUUGGAGACGGUUUUAGGGUUAUUUUCGGCCCUCUGACCCUCUGGACCCUUUGGACCCUUCGGUUGGAGAUGACCUUAAUGCCCUCAACUUUGGCAUGUUUGCAAUGAAAUGAGGCAUAAGGUACUUGUCGUCGGAUGAAAAAUUCAAAAUCAGCACUUCACAUUUAGGAAACUCUAUCUGGAACCAGUCCAUCUCUUUCAUUUCACCUGCAUAAUCAAGUGAUGAAUCGGUUUAAAUCAGCACGAAAGAGUAAACAUAAGGAAUAACCUCAUAAUUGAUAAAUGCAAUUACUGAAACAUGUUAAUACCGGUAUGAACUGAUACAAUCAUCGCCUGAAAUGGCUGAUCGGAAUCCCUCUCCCAUUCUCUUGGAAGUUCAGUCUCUCUUCUUGGCAUAAGCAAUCGACUGCGUUUGUUCACGCUGCCAUCAUUGCUCAAAUGAAAAGCAAGGUCCCUCGGCACAUCAUGCUGUGUAACAGAUAUGUCGUAGCAACUGCUAUAUAUGUCUCCAUCUCUGCAAUAUCAAUAUAUACAAAGGGUUCAAAUCAGAAACUAAUCACACUCAAAUAAAAUAAACAAAGUACCGAACUUUAAGCAUCGUACCUUGCAUCUUUCACCAGGGUGAGGAGAUUUUUGUUCGAAUGCUCGACAAGAAUAGCAAACGCUUCUUCUUCGUCGAUGCCAUGUAUUUCAACCCACAUAUUGGUAAGAACAUCAAGAGGGAUCUUCUUGUCUUCUGGAAAUGCACCCAAAUCGAAGAAACAUGAUUUAACUUUUUUGGAUAAGCUGUCGAGACUCGUUACCAUCCGUUGAAGUAGAUUGUUCUCAUGGGACUCACAAAAUGCUUCCCCUUUCGACAACUUGCUCCUUGCAUUUGCCCAACACAAUUCUGGCUGGUCUUUCAAUGAAGCUCCAAUCACUUUGAGAGCCAAAGGUGUUGCGAGUUAUAUAUUAGUUAAAGUGUAAAUAGUAGUUUAUUGUUCCACAUUGGUGAAGUACAUAUGUAAUACCAAUUGUAACUCCUAUAUAUACUCCACUUUGGAGAUUAAUGAAUAUAUAAGAAAUUCCCAAAUAUUGUCAUAUAUAUUUUUGGUAUUUAUCAUGUUUAGUUUAAUAUUGGUAUUUACCAUGUUUAGUUCAAUAUGGUAUCAUAGCAGUUCGCUCUUGGUGACCUGUGUGCUUUAAUUUUGUGCCCAUAUUUUUCGUGAUUUCCUUCGUGAAAAAAAAAAAAUUGAAUAGUGUCGCGCUACAGUACAAUGCGUGAACAGUAGUCUGCUUUGUGAACAGUGGUCAUCUACAGUGCCAUGUACAGUGAUUGCUACAGUACCGUGAAUAGUGCUCUGCUGCAAUGCCGUGAACAGUCUGCUGCUACAGUGUUCUGGUAAAUUAUUUUCAUUCCGCUGCGUAUCUUUUGUGCCUUUAUUGUUCGUGAUUUUGUUCAAUGGCUCAAUAUAAUCAUCGUGUUGUUAUGCAUCUUGGUGGAACAAAUAAAUGGAUAAUUGAUACUGGGGCCACUGAUCAUGUGACUAGUGACCUUAGAGUGUUUGAUGAGUUAUGUGACUAUGUUCGUGAUCCGUAUAUUACUAGUGCAAAUAGAGCACAUUCCCCUGUGAAGGGUAAAGGCACUAUCUCUUUGACUCCAACCUUAUCAUUAGUCCGUGCUUUACUUGUCCCUGAUGUUAAGUGCAAUCUUUUGUCGGUAGGAAAACUUCUUGAUACCUUAUAUUGUUCUGCUCACUUCUACCCUACGUAUUGUUAUUUUCAAGAUAUUUAAACUCAGAAGAUAAUUGGUCAUGGUAAAAGAAUAGGGGAUUUGUACAUCUUGACUAUGGAGGAUACUGUUGUUUCUGGUUCAAAUAAUCAUCAAGUUUUAAGUGCUAAAGUGGAUGACAGACAUCAAAUUUGGUUGUGGCAUCGACGAUUGGGACAUCCAUCAUUCAGUUAUAUGAAACAUCUAUUUCCUUCUUUGUUUCGCACUUGUAGUGAUUUGGAGUUCAAGUGUGAAACAUGUGUCAUGGCUAAGAGUCAUCGUGCUUCCUUUCUCGUAAAUGAUUCUAAAGCUACUUUACCAUUUGAUUUGAUACAUUCUGAUGUGUGGGGUCCGACGAAAGUUACUUAUAAUGGAUUCCUUUGGUUUGUUACUUUUAUUGAUGAUUGUACUCGGUUAACUUGGGUGUUCUUGAUGAAGAAUAAGAGUGAUGUUCCGUUACUUCUUCAAGAAUUUUGUACAAUGGUGUCUACUCAGUUCCAAACCAAAAUUAAGGUCUUUAGGUCUGAUAACGGAUGAGAAUAUGUGAAUCACACUUUGGCAUGUUUUUUUCGUGAUCAUGGUAUUAUUCACCAGACGACUACUCCAUUUACACCCCAACAAAAUGGUGUGUCCGAACGGAAGAAUCGUCAAAUAAUGGAGGUUGCUCGCUCCUUGAAAUGUGUUCCUAAUCAUUUGUGGGGCCAUGCUGUUUUGGCUGCUGUGUAUUUGAUCAAUCGUGUUCCGAGUAGGGUUCUUGAUUUUUAGACACUAUUUGAUGUACUACAAAAAUAUGUUUCUCUUGUUUCUGUAUCCAAGCUUCCUCCGAAAGUGUUUGGGUGUAUUGCGUAUGUGCAUGUCUACUCACAUCAGCGGAGUAAACUUGAUGCAUGUGCUCUCUGGUGUGUCUUUAUUGGGUAUGCUAACAAUAAAAAAGGCUAUAAGUGUUAUCAUCCUCCGACUCAAAAAACUUAUAUUACCAUGGAUGUCACCUUCCAUGAGGAAGUUUUGUAUUUUGUGAAGCCCUCUUCCGACUCUCCACUUCAGGGGGAGAGGGGGAGUGAAGUGCAUAUUCGAAGAGAUGGUAUGAAUGAUGUGUUACAGGCAAAGUUGGGAACAUAACCUAUUAUGUUGCGUGAUACUGAUCAGUCAACUACAGAUAGUGAUCGGUUACCUGUUAUUCCUGGAACUAUUUCUACUGACGAUAGAUCAGAUGUGCCCAGCGAGUUGCCUGUUAGUAUGUCUGACGAAUUACCUUCUGAUGAUCGGUUACCUGCUGUUGAUAUGUCUAACGAGUUGCCUGAUGAUGGUUCGUCCAGUGAUGAUUCUUCUAACAGUUUGGUACAAGAUGGUGGCAUACAUGAGGUAAAUUCUGACGAUUCUUCUACUUAUCAGUUGCCUCCACGAGCUAAUCGUGGAAAACCUAAAGUACAAUAUGAGCCUGAUAUGCAUGCCAAAGCCAAAUAUCCCAUCAACAAUUAUGUGUCUACUCAUCGUUUAUCCAAAUCAUAUGCAUCUUACAUAUGUCAGCUAUCUAGUGUAUCGAUUCCAACAAAAUUGCAAGAUACUUUGUCUGACCCUAAAUGGGUUAAUGCCAUGCAAGUUGAGAUGGAAGCAUUGGAAAAAAAAUUCUACUUGGGAUUUAGUUCCUUUACCAAACGGGAAGAAAGCCGUUGGAUGUAGAUGGGUGUUUACUAUUAAGCACAAAGCAGAUGGUUCUAUUGACCGGUAUAAAGCCAGAUUAGUUGCUAAGGGUUGUACUCAAACCUAUGGGGUAGACUAUCAGGAGACCUUUGCUCAUGUUGCCAAAUUUAAUACUGUGCGUGUUCUUCUGUCCUUAGCAGCAAACCAGGAUUGGCCUAUGUUGCAGUUUGAUGUUAAGAAUGCUUUUCUUCAUGGUGAUCUUAAGGAGGAAGUGUAUAUGGAUCUCCCACAUGGUAUUGGAACAUCUCCUGGAAAAGGUGUUGUAUGCAAGUUACGAAAGGCCUUGUAUAGUUUGAUACAAUCUUCUAGAGCGUGGUUUGGGAUGUUUACAAGUCCAAUGAAGAAAUUUAGGUAUAUCCAAAGUCAUUCAGAUCAUACUUUGUUUCUAAAGCGACAAAAUGCUAAGCUAACUGCAUUGAUUAUUUAUGUUGAUGACAUGAUAGUGACUGGUGAUGAUCAGAAGGAGAUACAACGCCUUCAAAAGUACCUAGCUACUGAGUUUGAGAUGAAAGAAUUAGGUGAAUUGAAGUAUUUUCUUGGAAUCGAGGUUGCAUGAUCCAAGCAUGGUAUUUUUCUGUCUCAACGGAAAUAUAUUCUUGAUUUGUUAGCUGAAACGGGUAUGUUAGAUUGCAAACCUGUUGAUACUCCGAUUGAGCAAAAUCAUCGUCUAGGCUUAUUUCCAGAUCAAGUUCAUACUCAUAAGGAACGAUAUCAGAGACUUGUGGGGAGAUUAAUUUAUUUGUCUCACACUCGCCUUGACAUUGCUUAUGCAGUUAGUGUGGUAAGUCAGUUUAUGCACUCACCUAGUGAAGCUCAUAUGGAUGCAGUAACCCAUAUUUUGAGGUACUUAAAGAUGGCUCCUGGUAGAGGCCUGGUUUUCUCUAAGAAUGGUCAUUUGAAUGUCAAAGGGUAUACAGAUGCAGAUUGGGCAGGUUACAUCACUGAUCGGCGAUCUACAUCUGGAUACUUUAUGUUUGUGGGUGGUAAUUUAGUUACUUAGAGAAGCAAGAAACAAAAAGUGGUGGCUAGGUCAAGUGCAGAAGCUGAGUUUCAUGCUAUGUCGCAUGGUAUAUGUGAGUUGUUGUGAUUGAAAAAAUUGUUGAGAGAUCUUGGGUUUAACUCCAAAGGUGCUAUGAAACUUCAUUGUGAUAACAAGGCUGUUAUUGAGAUUGCUCAUAAUCCAGUGCAACAUGAUCAAACAAAACAUGUGGAGAUUGAUCGACAUUUCAUUAAGGAAAAAUUGGAUGCUAGAAUUAUUAUGUUUCCGUUUGUGAGAUCUGAAGAUAAACUUGAUGAUGCUCUUACUAAGGCUGUGUCUAAUAGUGUGUUUUCCAACUCGCUUGACAAGUUAGGCAUGCGUGACAUCUUUGCACCAACUUGAAGGGGAGUGUUGUGAGUUAUAUAUUAGUUAAAGUGUAAAUAAUAGUUUAUUGUCCCACAUUGGUAAAGUACAUCUGUAAUACCAAUUGUAACUCCUAUAUAUACUCCACUUUGGAGAUUAAUGAAUAUAUAAGAAAUUCUCAAAUAUUGUCAUAUAUAUUUUUGGUAUUUACCAUGUUUAGUUUAAUAUUGGUAUUUACCAUGUUUAGUUCAAUAAAAGGAAGCCGCUUACACUCAUUAACAAUCUAAAUUUCAAGAAAACAAUUAGUUGCCGAUGUAAGGAAACAUAAAAUAACCCAUUUUGAUUAGCAGAAAAUGGAGACUGGAGGCUUGCGACCAUGUUUGGCGGUAUAACUUAGACCAAGUAAGUUCUAAAAUUUCCCAUCUAUUCCCCCCCUCAUUUCAUUUCAACCCUUGUUCUAAAAUGGGGUAAGUCUUAAAACUUAAAAAAAAGCCAAAUUCCGGCCAAAAUUUAGGCCAACGUUAGUGGUGAAGCCCACAUGUGAGAGUGAGAAACGACAAAUGAAAUUCACCCACUAGGCGAGGGUGCACGCCAAGCCCAGCAGGUCACCCGACACACCCGUGGGCUUGCUGCCCGCUUGUUGCCAUGCAAUCAUGAGCCUAACCCACUUGUUGCCAUGCAAAUAUGAGCUUAACGGCUCUAUUUUUAUCGUGCGGUCUGAUUUAAACAGACUGUUGGUUUAUUCAACAGCCUGCGUUUAAUUUUUUUUAGUGUUUUAUAUUUCUAUAUUUAUUGAAUCCAAGAGCUGUGAUCGACUAUAAUCAAAUUUAACUGUAAAAAAAAAAAAAACAAAGAAGAUCUAAUUUCCUAAAUUUAAAUCCAAAGGCUAGAAUAAUUAAAAAAAAUUAUUUAUCUCAAAAUUCACCCAAAAACUCUAUAAAUACCUAUGUAUUUGUUCAAACAUCCACACAAAACUCACUUUUCUUAUAUAAUUCUUCCAAUUUUUCUAUCUACCAUCUUCCAAAACCAUUUGUAUUAAUCAUGGUUUAUUAAUGAUCCGAUAUAGUGAUUUGUUCAUAGUGUUUCAUGAGUUUCAUGUGUCAAUUUAGUAAUUUUUAAUAUUUAUCGGAAUUUAAAUAUUUUUAAGUUAAAAUGUUCAUAAAAUUAAUUUAGAAUAGUCUACGUAAUUUUUUAAAGUUAAUUAAAAAAUAGUCUAAAUUCAUUCUUUAAUAAUCUAAGGCUAAAAAUUUAGACUAGAAGGGUUGGAGCAGAAAAGUUGUUUCUGGGUCAAAACCUAAAUUUUCUAGGCUAAAAUUUUUUAGUUUUAACCCAAGAGGAGAUAGUCCUAUAGAAGUGAUUGUGCAUUAUAGAAGCACUUUCUAGAGGUUUUCAAAGAAGCAAUUGUAUUCUAGCAAAAGCGCUUAAGAUUGUGCCUGCUUGACCAAAUUUUUAUCAGUCGCAGGAGGAAUGGAGUUUUGGCCAAAAGCAGAGUAACAAAACAGAGAGAGUGCUUCUUCUUCCCUCAACAACUGCACAUCAUAAGUGGCAUCGAGAACGGUUGGGAAUUUGAAACGUGAGACAACAAGAAACUUCCAGCCCGGGAUUUUAAGGAGCAGCGGCACAAGUACUGCCACUGACCACACAUCAUCCAAAACCACCAGAGUUCUCGUUGCGGUGAUCCACUCGUACUGCAAGUUCCAUCUGGACACUGUGAUACUCAGGAACAGAAUUCUCUCGCUGAAAUAAGCUGCAUUCGAUCGGAUGAGCACAAAACAGAGUCAGCGUUUGAUUCUAAAGAAAACUCAAAUUCUAGAGAACCCGUUAGAGCAAAUUCAAAUUUUAGAAUACCAAUCAAAGAAUAUUCUCAAAAGAAGCAAAAAAAAUUGAUUAUAUCAUCUGAAAAGCAAGUGAAUUUUCCAAAAAAAUAUCAACUUGUUUUUAAUAAAAUAAAAGCACUUCUAGCAAAAUCGAUUAGGAUCACAACUUCACCAGUAAGCAAUUAGAAAUAGGCACUCAGUUACUUACAUCUAACUUGAUCAUCCUUGCAAAGCUCUCUGGCGAGAGUGGUUUUUCAAGAGCCACCAAUCCCACAAAUCCCAACGACCCUGAAGUCCUCCCUCCCAAAAAUCAUUCUCUUCACCGUCUUCAUCCCCACCCUCAAUCCCAACACCACCGAAUUGCUCACCUCCCACUUCAUCUGCCCUUCCUCCUCCACCCUCCUCACAGCCUCCCCCAUCCACCCACCACCGCCACCCCCGCCGACACAAGUCCCAAUCUUUAAGGCCCCAAGCUGCUGUUCCAUCAUCUGGCUCGACGCCGUUGAGCUGGAACUGCCGUUCAACCGGUAGCUCGACGCCGAAGUACUUGAUUUCUUGGAUUAUGGGGAGGAGCUCCUCGAUUGAGGAUUUGAGUUGCUCGGCGGUUCCUCUGCUGUGGCAUGAUUUGCAGGAGAUGGCGAUUAAGGUUUUCAGGAGCUCCAUCAUGACCUUUUCGAUGAAGAAGUCCGUCAUUGCCCUUGUUGGUGGUGGUGGGAGCUGUGCGACUAUGGCGGGUGAAUUGGUUUGUCUUGUUAUGGAGACAGCAUUUCGGUUACCCCACAUAUUUUUUGAAUACACCACACUUAAAAACGUAAUAUUAAACAACUUGUAACUCUAAUAUGAAAUGACUAAUCGAGCCCUCACACUUGCUCUUACUCUCCAUUGUAGAACAAAACCCUAAAAACACAAACAAGUUGAUGAAAAUAUAUCUUUUGAUCAACGGAACAAAAAAUCAAGUUUUGCUCCUCGUUCAUUCGCUGGUUUUCACAUUCGAGAAAUUAUUUAAAUAAUGGAAUGAAAAUUUGACUUUUUGCAAAGCCCUACUCUAAUUAGAACUAACAUGACCUUAUAAGAACAAUUCUUACCAUUUGUCCAUCAGGUUUCUUAGAAUCCGACGUGAUUGUUCUAGAAAAUUUGACAGAUGUUUAUAAAUCAAACGGCAAGAUAGAGAUUUUAUACAACAAUUUAAUUCAUCUUUCUUGUCUUUAAAAUAUGGAUUAUUCUUUUGUUUAAAAGAGAUGAAGAGUUUGAUGUGUGGUUAAUUAGUUGAUGAUGUGAGAUGUGAAGUGUGGGGUGUAUGAGAUGUGAGAUGUGAGGUGUGAGGGUAGUAUUGGAAAAUAUGUGGGGUGUGUUAAGAAAAAUUUUAAUUUAAAAAGUAAAUGUGGGGUGUAGUCAAUAAAAUGUGGGGUGUUAAUAAAACAACCCUUCCAUAAUCCAAUUAAAAGGAUGAUAUAAAUAUGUGGUAAAAAGUAAUAUUUUUGUUUAAACAUGGCUUUUUCAGCAUAUGUCAUCAAAUCCAGAUCUUCGCCAGAUCUUUUUUGUGAGGAUUUCAGAAAUCUGUAAAUCGUGCGAUCAUAUAUUAUUUUAAAUAUUUUUAUUUAAAAAUAAAUAUAAACAAUAGUUAACGAAAACUGACCACACGAUAUAGAUGAACAGACACAAUUCACGGAUCUCUAAAAUUCUCACCAAAAGGAUUUGGAGAGGAUCCUAUUAGUAUGUCAUCACUUUUAAUUUACUUCUUUUAUACAAAUGAUAAUGUAUGAUGAGAGAUUUUUCAAUGUGAUUGGCACACGAAGUGGUACACCACGUGUCAUUAUACAAAUAGUGUGAUAUCUGAGUUACAAAGUUAAUAACUUAAAAAAAUAUAAAAAAUUACCAUUUACAUAAAAACACAUGAUGUACUACCGUGUUUCCGUCACAAUAAAAAUUUCUCAAUGUAUGACGAGGAGUUGAAUUCUCUAUGCAAGGAUGAAUGUAUUUGACCAAUUGAAUUAUACGUCUUCUGCUAUCACAACAAAACCACGUGUGUUUUGAUGGUCUUAUCUAACCACAUUUACUCAUUGUGUGAGUUGCUUUAAUACCACUUUGUCAUGAGAAUGACUUAUAAACGGGUUUAUCAUCAGUGUAGUGUCUAGUUUUAAUACAACAACGAUAUGUAUAUGGUUGUCAACACGUGGCAUGGAUGCCACGUGGCCAUGAACUCUUUUCAUGUAAGUAGCCUUUUGCAUUCGUAGUUAGUGAUGCCAAAGAGCAAUUUUUUUGUCGAUGCAGAGUGCAUUGCAAGAGAAGUAUAGUGACAACAGGAGUAGGAGAUGCCUAUUUAUACGAGGCUAAUGUUAGGAAGAUUAAAUUUAUAAACACAAAUUUUGUAAAUUAAAUUAAAUAAAAAUUGAUAAACGUAGUCAUUUUCUAUUAAUGACAUAUUAUAUAAUUUGUAAAUUUUAUCUCACAGAUAGUCUCCCUAACAUUUUCAUUUGUCCUAUUCAUAGUGACAAAAAUCCUUUUGUUUGCUUGGAUGAGUGGCUCCCUCACCUAACAUGGAUUUGGAUCCUCUCCUGAGCUAAUGGAGAGGAUCCUCCUAACCAAUCAUCUUAGGCCGUUGGAUUUUUAUCCAACGGCUACAAAUAGGGGGAUCCCUUUAAGGAGAGGAUCCAAAUCCACCUAACAUGCCCAACAAGAUCCUCUACGGAUCCCUUUGGUGAGGAUCCUGAGGAUCCGUGAAUUGUAUACGUUCAUCGUAUAUUAUGCAAUCAGUUUUUUUCAAGUACUGUUUGUGUUUAAUUUUAAAUAAAAAUAUUUAAAAUAAUUUUUUAUCAUAUGAUGUACGAUAAACUGACAUGAUUGACUGGUCUCAAAGAUCCUUACAAAGAGGAUUCGGGGAGGAUCCGGAUUCCUAACAUGCAAGUUAUGCAAUGCAAGACCUAAACCCUAAACUUUAAACCCUAAUGUAAAGGAAUUGGAUCUGCUCAGGACCUUAGUGUCCUGAGCCUAGGGAUCACUUCAUCUGGACGACAUAAAUUUAAUCCAAUGGUCCAUAUUAACUCAUUUUUCUGGCCCACCACACAAAACCAACAACUCUAAUUUCUUUUACAUACCAAUUAGUGGUCCAGAUGAAAUGAUUCAUAGGCUUUGAACACUAAGGGUGCGUUUGGUACGUGGGAUGAGACGGAACAGAGUGGGACAUACGCGUUCCGUACCACAUUUGGUGCGCUAAAAUUACGUGGAAUGCGUGUCCCACGGAAUGAAAAUGGGUUAGAUUUUGGUUCCCCCUCCCCUUGGAACGGGUUUUUCCAUCCCGUGGGACACAAAAUUAUAAUUUUUUUGGACAACAAUACCCCUCUUAUUUUUCAUUAAUUACAUUGUCUACCUCCCUUUCUUUUCCGUAACCUCCCUCUCUUCUACCCUUGUCUCUUCCGUAGCCCUCCUCUUGCUCCACCAUAAACCCAGUAACCCAACUGCUAACCCAAUCCCAGCAAACCCAUCCGACGAUGACAACGUCACCAUAGCAAACCCUCUUCUUCUCCGGCACCGUCUGGCGUCACGAACAUGACCCCAUCUCAUCAUCUUCGUCCGUGUAAGCGAGGUGGAUCUGAUCCGGAACACGACCCGAUUCGAAGCUAAGCUCGUCAUCUGAGGUGGCGAACAAGUGGGCGGUGCCGGGGAGGGGGUUGUGGUCCUGGUCGAGGUGGUUUGGGUCGAAAAAUCCGGAAGGAGUAGUUGAAUCAGAGAUUGACCAGUGGGAGGAAAAUAGAGCCCGACCCAGAUUUCCAUGUGGGGGCAGAAGAGAGGAACUUGUAUCCUAUAAAGCUGUCGUGGUGGGAGGAAGGGGGUGAGUAGAUGCCGAGCCAGUCGAGUCGGGAGGGCGAGUCGAUGCCGGACCAUUGGGUUAAGACGGAGUCGCCCGAUUUGGAGAGCGAGGUUGGGGAAAGAGAGAGUGAAACAGUUUGGUGGGUCGGAGGGAAGAAGGUGGAUGCUGCACGGAGGAUGAUGACAACGCUGCAGGGAAGACGAUGACGAUGCUGCAGGAGGACGAUGACGUAGUUGCAAAAAUUGAUUGAAAUGAAUUUUGGGAUUUUUCUGUGUUUGAUUUGAAGAGAAAGAAAUUGUUUGGGGGUCUGAUUCGUCAUUUUUUUUCUUCUUGUAAUUGUUUGGGGGUCUAAUUGGUUGCCGAGAAAACGAAGGAAAACGACGACGCUGCAGAAAUUGUACAAACAAGGCUAAGUUAAUCAUUUAACACGAAAUCCGAACUGUUCUGUCCUAUACAUACCAAACAUAACACGAACCUCUAUUUCGUUCCGUUUCGUCCCGUCUGCGUACCAAACGGUACCUAAGGUCUGGAACAGAUCCAAAUCCUAAUGUAAACACAAAGACUUUUAAGUCAAUGAAUAUAUCACUUCAUAUGCUUUUUGACGAUGACGUGGUGCAUGGAAUGAUGCGAUGAUGAAGGUGCUUGACUGCUUUUUACUCUGCCAAUUUUAUGUGUAUGUUUGUAGGACUGUCGUCUUUUUCUCUAAUGCUUGACCGAUGAGGGUAUUCUUGGAUUCUUUUUUAUAUCCUGAUCAUUUUAUCGCAUAUUAUUCAACUAUUUUUUAUUAUGUGUUAUUUAUAUUUAAUUUUAAAUAAAAAAUUAAAUAUUUUUAUUGUAUAAUGUAUAAUGAACAGAUAAAAUGUAAUAAAUUCUAAGAUCUUCACAAAAAAAAUUCCGGAUGAAAUCCAAAUCCAUGCUUGACGACUUUCUAGACUGAAAACAGACUACCAUACUUCUGAGCAAGGACAAGAUGGUCAUUUUGUUAGUCAAUGAGAAUCACCAUUGUUGGGUCAGGGUGCAGGAAACAUUGUCUCCGAUAUUGAAAAGUGGUGGUAGCUUGCAGUGUUUAAAAUUUCGUUUAUUAUGGAAAUGUUCAAAAAAUAAGAGAAGAUAAGAAAAUGAGAGAUGAAGUCUAAACUUCACUCUAUCACUGGCAGAGCCACAACAAAAGUUAUGGUGGGCUAUAGUCCAGGGAGGAUUUGUAGCAAUAUGUAUGUACUUUAGUGUGUAGCCUAAUAUAAUGGACGAGAAAAGUGCAAGAAGAAUUAUGUUUAAUCGAACUAGCUCAGUGAGUAUUUAGCACAACUAAAAAUAUAAAAAUUACAAUAAAAAUUGUAAUGUCAUUUUGUUCAAGAUUAUUGUGCUUUGAUUUAAUGGGCUUUAUAUUGUUUUCAAUCAAUUUUUUUUUAAGAUACCUUUACUUCUACUUUUAUUGUUUUGUUUUGUGCUAGUUGAGAUGGCUCAAGUAUCAAGAUUUCUAUCUUCUUCUGGUGUUUGCAUCUAAAUAUACAUGAAAUUGGAUGAUUUAUUGUAAUUUUUGCAGUUUGUAAUUGUGAACUCAAUAGAGUUCAUGCUAAGCAAAUUUUAAAGUAUACAAAUACAAAAGUUAAACUCAAGUUUUUGCAUACAAUACGAAUGUAGCAAAAAAUAUCAUUUGAUUUUAGGAUAAUUUUUUUAGCUAGCCCACUCAUAAAGAAAUUUAAAGCUCCGCCCUUACACUCUAUAUAGGAGAAACUCUUAAGUUUAAACUAAAAUCGACAUAAAUCGUCUAUAUUUCUGACGCAACUGUUAAAUAUCCGUAACAAAUGGUCCAUUUAUUGAUGGGCGAACGACGGGGAUUGAACCUGCGCAUGAUGGAUUCACAAUCCACUGCCUUGAUCCACUUGGCUACAUCCGUCCCUGCCCGUACCCCCACACAGGUUUAGAGAAACUCUUUUAUUUCAUCCAAAAAAUGUUUGACAACCCUUAAAGUAUCCGUCGAUAUUUCCACAAAUUUACACAUUGAUAUUAUUAUCGACAGUGAUAUUUUAAAUAAGGAAAACUAAUGAAAAUGACUUGAAAACUUUGAGUUUUAAAGAUUAUGACAAAAUAAAAGGUAAAAUAAAUAGUAUCAGGUUUGACUUUUUAGUGUAAAAUGUGAUUUUUCAUUAAAGUGAACAGUACCAGGUUUUUCAUUAAAACUCCCUUUUAAAUAAGGUUUGCAGCUGAUAUUUCUACUGGUAGAAUAUACGGUGGCAGCAGCACAACCAUAUAUCCUGCAAAGUGGUGGACGUGCUGGAGGAGUAGAACUCUGGCAUGCUGAAACAAGUAGCUGAGCAGCAAGAACGAAAAGCUGAAAAUGUUGUUGUUCCUAAGAGCAAGAAGCAGCAGCUAACUUUCCCUGUCACCCCUAUUGGCUUUUGUUUUCGCCAUGACAUCGCCAACAAGACAAAAGAGUUUAAUGAGAUGUUACUUGUGAUUGACGAGCAAAGAAGAAACACGCAUGUGUUUCAACGCAAUGAAGACGGCAUACAACAAGUACCUAAACGACAAGAGACUUCUCCCCAUGUCGGACAUCUCUAAGGUGUUGUUGAAUGAUGGUAGAGAAAAUAAGAUUGCCGACCGUAAGCGGUGAUGACACCCUUAGUUCAAAUGAUCAGCUGAGUCAUGUCCAUGUCAACAUCCUUGAGGGCAAGAGGUUUUUCAUUAUCCUAGAUGCCGUGUCGACCCACCAUGAAAAGUUGGAUCAAUUAAGGGGAUUUGGAUCCCAUUCCGAUCAAAAUUGUGAGAAUCUUAGAGAUCUUCACAUCUUAACUAUUCAUCGUACAUUGUGCGGUUAAAAAUCAUUUGAAUUAUUUUAUUUAAAAUUAAAUACAAAUAGUACCUAACGAAAACUGAAUGCACGAUGUACAAUGAACGACUAUGAUAUGAGAAUCUCUAGGAUCCCCACAAAGAGAAUCCGGAGAGAAUCCUCAUCCCAAUUAAGGAUACCACUUAUUCAAAGGAGUGCUAAAGGCAAUAGAAUAUUGGUAACCACAAGAUAACAUUAUGUUGUUAAUAUGAUGAGAGCAAUAAGUGACUUGAUCAUUUUGGGGGGAGCUGAGUAUUUCAAUCUUCAACCCCAUGUCGUUUUCUACUAGGCAAGUAGACGAGUCUAAGGCGUUUGACAAUAUUAAUAAAAGAAAUGAUGGAGAAAUGUAAAGGUUUGCCUCUCAAUGCAAAAGUUUUAGGUAGUCUCAUGCGCAACAAAGGAGUGAAUGACUAGGUGUCUUGAUUAGUAAGAUAUCGGAUCGAAAAAGGGGGAGCGAAAAGUUUUCCAACCACUAUUACUAAGUUAUUAUGAUUUGGUCUUAACAGUCAAAUGUUCUUUUAUAUUAUGCUAUUAUAUAUAAUUUUUUUGAGUGAUCAGCACACGAAGGGUAUGAAUCCCACCAAUUAACAUUUGAGUGAUCAACACCAUAAUUAGCUACACAGUUAGCAAUUAGAUUAUAUUCUCUAAAAAUAUGAGAAAUCUGAAGGCUUGUUUUUAGUUAUGCUCUCCAGAACUCUAUUUUAGUCUCACUUUGCUCCAUGUAACUCUAAAGUCACCACUUUACUCCUUGAAAACUCAAAGUUCGUUCCACAUUGACUUGUGUACUCUCUUCUCCCUAAAACUUAUAGCUCGGAUCUUGAAACAUAUGUGAGACCCAUGUGCAAUAAAUUUGGUUAUAAAUAGUCAUGGAAUAUUAAGUUUAAAAGAAAUUGAAGAGAUGAAAAAAAUAAAAAUUAAAUUGAUCAGCUUGCCACACCCAAAUCAAACACACAUGAGAAAUUAACAAAUCUAAAGCAAUGUUGAACGAAUUUUGAGUUUUACAUAGACGACUUUUAAAGUAGCGCGAACUUUGUGUUUCAAGGGGUAAAGUGGAACGAACUUUGAGUUUCAAAGAGUAAAGUGGAGUGAACUUUGAGUUUCAAGGAGUUAAAUGAUGAUUUUUGAGUUACAGAGAGUAAAGUAAAAUUAAAAAUGAAAUUUUAGGGUGUGUAGCUAAAGAUAAGCCAAUCUUAACUUUCACAGAGGACAAUAGAAAAAGAUAUAUGGGACCUCGAGUGAUUAAGAAAAUAUGAAAACGUGCAUUAGACCCAACGUUAUUUGGCCUCAUUGUAUUAAACCGGCCCAUAUUUCUCAUUCCAAUUUUGUAGCUGUGUUAUCGUUGUUAUUAGCCUCGGAAGAAAAACCAGAAAUUGUUUCAUAGAUAUGCAGCAAGCUUCCUCUGCCAAAGGGAUCCGGCAGCUUUAAAUCUUCUUUUGGGUCAUCACCUUUACAAGCUUGGCAAGAUAAAACACCACUGAAAUAAAGGUUCAUUGCAUAUAUAAUAUGGUUUCAUACUGCUUUGCUAUCUUACCAUAUAUCUCUUUGUUUUUAUCUCUUAGACACGUCAUGAUGUAUGCUCGAAUCUCCUUAAUAACGUUGUAAUUUAGGCUAUUUUAUUAAUAGUUCUGUAAUAAUUGAGAAAGUUGCAUAAACCAAGUUAAUACAUGGUGUUGAAGAUUCUUUUGGACUCAUUGUACAAAAUUUCUCAUGAUAUGAAUCGAUAAUUUUAGAUUUUCUUGAAAGAUCUUUUUUUUGGCGAAAAUUCAGCCAAAUCAAGAGUUUACUUAUUUAACAGCAAUUGAACCAAUAGAGAGAUGUAAUAUUUUGUUGCUCAAUACAAUAAUGAAAUAGUUAAAUGAUUUUUCCCAUUUGUCAGUUGCCACAUCCCAGUCUCGACUCCGUCGUAGUACUAUAUUGUCCGCUUUGGGCCCCGGCCACGCCCUCACGGUUUUAUUUUUUGGCCCAUAUUGACCAACGGAGAGAGGGUGAUGUGUCUUAUAUGUACAUGCUCCCCUCCUUAUAGCACGAGGCAUUUUGGGGACUCACUGGCUUCGAUUCCAUUGGAACUUCAAAGUUAAGUGAGUUCGGACGAGAGCAUUCCUAGGAUGGGUAACCCACUGGGAAGUUCUUGUCUGAGUUUCCAGAAACAAAACUGGGAGGGUGUGGUUGGGGCCCAAAACGGACAAUAUCGUGCUACGGCAGAGCCGAGACUGAGAUGUGACAGUAUGGUAUCAGAGCCACUCUACUGUUCAGUGCGAGUGUGCCGACGAAGAUUAUUGGCAAAUCUUGGUGUAGACGAUUACCAUCGAUGAUAUAAUUCUCAUCCUAUUUUACUUUACUGUAUUUAUGCUCUGUAAUCACGUGUGAAUUGGGUUCAUUCCCGCUCACCAACGCACUCUUAUAUUUAUGCACUUUUAGGUUUAAAGUUAUUCACAUUUUCCACAUCACUAUACUUUGUGGCUUCGUCACCCUUCAGGUGUCGACCAGCACAACUCGAUUCAAAGUUCUAGUGGACAUACCGGGUUGGGGUGUGUCACCAGUGGCUCGUUCGGACUAUGUUAGUUUCCAUGGCUUCCACUUCUCAAAUCAGUGUGAAUCUCGGCAUAUAGACUAUGUUUGCUACUGGCUUCCGCUUUUCAAAUUAAUGAACAUCUCGAAAUACAUGUUUAUCUCACUUUCUUUUUUUUUCUUCUUAAUCCUGUGAUGUUGCUCGAUCUGAUUUGCAGGUUUAGACCUUUAGGUUUGGAUUUAGAAGUGUCAAGUUUCAUGUUACCCUGUCCUUUCCAUGUCUCUUUACUGUUUUCAUUGCUAGAGGUAGAAUUUAUGUCCCCUUCUUCUUUACGUAAUUUUUUUUAUCCUUUUUGCUUAUAUUAUGAGAGGUUAGGUUUAAAUCAGUGUAACUUCUUUAUUCGUUAUCAAUAAAAUUCCUCUGAAUCUUUUUCAAAAAAAAAAACAAUUAUUUUAGGUGAAUCUUGACAAUGAUGAUUUAAAAAAUCAACGGUUGUUAUUAAGUUAGUCCAGAAUUUAAAUUAAUCAAUUAUUUUUAAUAUUGGGUGUGGUGUGGUGUGGUGUGGUGUGCUAAAGUCGUAUUAGGGCGGUUGUUAUUAAGUUAGUCCAGAAGUUUAAAUUAAUCAAUUAUUUUUAAUAAUGGGUGUGGUGUAGUGUGCUAAAGUCAUAAGUUAGUCCAGAAGUUUAAAUUAAUCAAUUAUUUUUAAUAAUGGGUGUGGUGUAGUGUGCUAAAGUCGUAUUAGGGGGAGGGGAUAAGUGGGAUGGAUGAGAUCGCGGGAUGUGGGUAGACUAAUUCAAACACUCACGUAAGUUCAAUAAAAUUGGACCCUAUCUGAAGUCACUCAGACGUUACAAGUAUUUCAAAAGUGUUUGUCCUAACUUUUGGCUUCAGGCUAACGUGCUUGUGAAAUAAGCCACUUUGUUGCUUCUGAGCCGCCUAUCAUCAGUUGACUGUCACUAAAGAGGGCACUUCCAACGAUUUCUGGAGUCUUCAAAGAAAACAGAACCACAGAAACACAUGCAGAAUAAUCCUCUAAUUUUUUUUCCCUAUUAUUUGAAUCGACAUCCUCUAUGGAUCUCUGUAUCCGAAGCUUAAGAACAAGAAAAUCCGUGUUGUUGCAAAGAAUGAUUCGCACCCUUAGUUUGUGUGAGGUGGAUCGGUGAAAUAGACUAAUGGGAGCCGCAAAAUUUAAAAUGAUGGUAGAGAAAUCUGAAGAGGAUCUCAAUUCCUAUUAUUUAACUUCAUAUGAACAAAUGAUUCACUAUUUACAUCAAAAUCCAUACAAAUUAAUAAUGGUAAUGGUGCAACAAUUUGCUCAUUCAUCGAGCCAGUCCAGAUCGAAAUGUUUCUCCACCACCUGAACAUGAAGCUCCGGCAAUGCCUUCUCUGCGUCUCUCCACAUCCAAGAAAUAUCCUCGUCGCACACUACGAGGCGCAGAGACUGUAACAUUGCAGCGGAUUUCGGUAGAUUGCUAAUUUGUGAACAUUCCCUCAUGUCAAUCUUUUCCAAACUUGGUAGUUAACCAAUGUCCAUGGGAAGGCAUCUCAAAUUUACACACUGGCAAAUGUCAACGUACUUCAAGCGAAGUAACUCGCAAAUGCUGGCCGGAAGCGUCUGCAGUGCCGCACACGCAUAUAGCCUUAGGAUCUGUAGAGAUUGCAGCUUUCCCAAAUCAGCUGGGAGCUGGUAUAGGCUGUGGCAGUUGGUUACGCUCAAGUUCUUGAGCGAAGGCAUUGCGCAAAUGCACGAAGGCAGCUGGAAUAAGUCAUCGCAAUGAUCGAUUGUGAGCUCUGUCAGCCGAGGAAAGGUGGAUUGAUCAAGGCUAUUACUGAUCUUGCAUAGGAUUAUAUAGAUUUUCCUCAGAUUUUUCAGGGGGAUGGUAGCUAAUUGAGGGACAGACACUUUUUCGAGCCAGAGGCUUCUCAAGUUGGAUAAAUUUGAGAAGACUGAAAAGCCAUUUAGGAUGGCAUUUGAUGUACUGUAAUUCAUGAUUAUCAAUGCCCUCAACUUUGGCAUGUUUUCAAUAAAAGGAGGCAAAAGGUACUCGUCGUCGGAUGAAAAAUUCAAAAUCAGCACUUCACAUUUGGGAAACUCCAUCUGGAACCAGUCCAUCUCUUUCAUUUCACCUGCAUUAUCGAGUGAUGAAUCGGUUUAAAUCAGCACAAAUGAGUAAACAUAAUGAAUAACCUCAUAAUCAAUAAAUGCAAUUACUGAGACACGUUAAUACCGGUAUGAACUGAUACAAUCUUCGCAUGAAAUGGCUGAUCUGAAUCCAUCUCCCAUUCUCUUGGAAGUUCAGUCUCUCUUCUUGGCAUAAGCAAUCGACUACGUUCAUUCACACUGCCAUCACUGCUCAAAUGAAGAGCAAGGUCCCUCAGCACAUCAUGUUGUGUAACAGAUAUGUCAUAGCAACUGCUAUAUAUGUCUCCAUCUCUGCAACAUUAAUAUAAACAAAGGGUUCAAAACAGAAACUAAUCACACUCAAGUAAAAGAAAUCAAGUACCGAACUUUAAGCAUUGUACCUUGCAUCUUUCACCAGGGUGAGGAGAUUUUUGUUUGAAAGCUCAACAAGAAUAGCAAACGCUUCUUCUUCGUCAAUGCCAUGUAUUUCAACCCACAUAUUGGUAAGGACAUCAAGAGGGAUCUUCUUGUCUUCUGGAAACGCACCCAAAUCCAAGAAACAUGAUUUAACUUUUUUGGAUAAGCAGUCGAGACUCGUUGCCAUACGUUUAAGUAGAUUGUUCUCAUGGGACUCACAAAAAGCUUCCCCUUUAGACAACUUGCUCCUUGCAUUUGCCCAACACAAUUCAGGCUGGUCCUUCAAUGAAGCUCCAAUCACUUUGAGAGCCAAAGGAAGCUGCUUGCACUCGUUAACAAUCUAAAUUUCAAGAAAACAAUCAGUUACCAAUCUAAAGAAACAUAAAAUAACCCAUUUUGAAUAUCAGAAAAUGGAGAUUGGAGACUUAUGACUACGUUUAGCGUAGAAAGAAAGUGAUUAUGCAUUAUAGAAGCACUUUCUACAGCUUUUCAAAUAAGCAAUUGUAUUCUAGCAAAAACGCUUCUGAGCAGAAAGAAUAACAAACGGACACUAAGAUAGUACCUGCUUGACCAAAUUUUUAUCAGCCGCAGGAGGAAUGGAGUUUUGGCCAAAAGCAGAGUGAAAAAACAGAGAGAGUGCUUCUUCUUCCCUCAACAACUCAACAUCAUAAGUGGCAUCGAGAACGUUUGGGAAUUUGAAACGUGAGACCACAAGAAACUUGCAGCCUGGGAUCUUAAAGAGGAGCGGCUCAAGCACUGCCAGUGACCACACAUCAUCCAAAACCACCAGAGAUUUCGUUACGGUUAUCCAUUCAUAUUGCAAGUUCCAUUGGGGAAGCACAGAAUUGGGACUGAGAAUUUGGUUCCCCAUGAUGAACUGCACAAUCUUGGCCUUCAACUGGUUCACAUCUGGAGACUGUGACACUGUCAGGAACAGAAUUCUCUCAUUGAAAUAAGCUGCAUUCGAACGGCAACGAACACAAAACAGAGUCAUUGUUUGAUUCUAAAGAAAACUCAAAUUCUAGAGAACCCAUUAAAGCAAAUUGAGGUUCUAUAAAACCCAUGAAAGAACGUUCUCAAAAGAAGCAAAACAAAGCAGAGUUUGGAAAAUUCAUCUAAAAACGCUUCUGACAACAUUUGGUGAAAAAGUCAUUAUAUCAUCUGAAAAGUACUAGAAUUUUCAAUACAAAUUUCAACAUGUUUAUAAUAAAAUAAAAGCACUUCUAGCAAAGUCAAUUACGAUCACAAGUAAGCAAUCCGAAACAGGGACUUAAUUGCUUACUUCUAACUUGAUCAUCCUUGCAAAGCUCUCUAGCGAGAGUGGUUUUUCCAGAGCCACCAAUCCCACAAAUCCCAACGACCCUCAAAUCCUCCCUCCCAAAAAUCAUUCCCUUCACCGUCUUCAUCCCCACCCCCAAUCCCAACACCACCGAACUGCUCACCUCCCACUUCAUCUGCCCUUCCUCCUCCACCCUCCUCACAGCCUCCUCCAUCCACCCGCCACCGACACCCCCGCCUCCGCAAGUCCCAAUCUUUAAGGUCCCAAGCCGCUGUUCCAGCACCCGGUUCGACCAAUCAAGCCGGUCGAACCGCUGAUCCACCUCCGCCCUAAUGUGGUGGACGUCGGCCAAGAUAUGGACCUGUAAUGGGCCCUGAAGAAAUCUGGACACUGUCGUCUCCAAAGCCUCCAUCUUUUUCGCCAAUCGGACGUGCGUGUAAAAGUUCCAGCGCGGUGUCGUGAGGACUUUUCGGACCAGUUCGAGGCCGUUCUGGAGAACUUCCGACAUGCGGUCGAGCUGGAACUGCCGUUCGGCCGGUAGCUCGACGCCGGAGUGCUUGAUUUCUUGGAUUAUGGGGAGGAGCUGCUCGACUAAGGUUUUGAGUUCCUCGGCGGUUCCUCUGCUGUUGCAUGACUUGAGGGAGAUGGCGGCGAUUAAAUUUUUCAGGAGCUCCGUUGUGAUCUCGCCGACGAAGAAGUCCGUCACUGCCAUUGUUGGUGGUGGUGGGAGCUGUGCGACAAUGGCGGGUGAUGCCUUUUAAAAGUUGUUUUAUAAUUUGUGACGUGAUCACUUUCAUUUUCCUUAUUUUUCAAGAGUGCUGAUAAAACCUUGAUAUAUUUAACCAUUUGUCAAAAGACUUUAAAAACUCUAUUUAAAACUAAUUUAAUAUAUUUUUGGCAAAAAAUAAAUGUAAAAAGGGAAAAGUUGAUAUAAGUUCAUGUUUUUGAGCCAAUAGUAUGAAUUGUCCAAUUUAUUAAAAUUAGUCAAAUUCCUUAAAUUUAUUUAUUUUAUUAACAAUAAUGAUCUCUUCAAUGAUAAAAUUUAUUAUAAAUCAAAUUUCUUCCUAAUUAUUUAUUUGAUUUUUUUUUUUGUUGCUACUUCUUGUUGUUCCUCCUGCUUUAAACCCUAUUUAUAGAUUUUAAUUUUUAUAAGCAGCCUAUAUCACAUGUUGAUUAUAUUUAUGUACCUAUAUGAUAAAUUUUUUUUUUAUAAUCGAUCUGUCACAGAUUAAUGUGUCAUACUUAACUAGGGAUGGGCAACGGUUAUGGCAGGUGGGUAACCGCGGUUAUUUACCCAUAACCGUUUAUGCUCAUACCCGCAUAACUGUUUACCCGUUGGGUAAUUGCCUAAACGGUUAUACCCAUACCCAUAACCAUAACCGUUAAACGGUUAACCAUACCCAUAACCGCAUACCCAUUUACCCAUUUAUCAUUUUUAACCCGUUUAUCUUUUUUUUUUUUUUUUACCAUUUCCCAUUUUUCACCUGUCUACAUGUUUUUUAACAAUUUGAAAAUUAAAAAAAAGAUUGUCAUAAUUUUCUUUUUUUGACAAUCAAACACCGUUAUAGAUACAUUCAUCAUACAUUUCCAUAUUUUAAUUUUUUAAGUCCUUAUAUCAUUCUAAUAAUUGAAAUAAUAGUUUGCAAACGAUAUUUUUAACUGUUACCAAUGAAGGUAAAUAUAAUAUUUGCUAAGUAUUAUUGGGUUACAAAAAUUGUUUAAAAGACAUUUCUGUCAAUUUCACGGUUACCCGCAAGGAAUUUAAAUUAAUUUGGCCAAUUCCUUGAUGAUGAGAAUCAUCAUUCCCGUAGCAGUGUUAUUGAGAGAAUGACCGAUGAAUUGCUUGCUAAAUUAUUAGGUGCUAAGUAUUAUUGAAUCGAGAAUAUAGUUUGUAUUAGUUUUACAUAUAUAAAAUAAAUGGGUAAACGGUUAUAUCCAUAACCGAUUAUUUAUCUAAACGAUUACCCAUAACUGUAACCGUUUAAUUUAAAUGGACGGGUAAUCGCGGUUACCCAUAAUCAAUGGGUAUUUGCUCAUCCCUAUACUUAACUCCAUCCCCUUUUCUUCUAAUUUUCAAUUGCAAUAGAAAAUGAGGUUAGAACUUUCAAUUUUGAUGUUAUUGUGUUGAAUAUAAUUAAAUUUGGUGCGGGGAGAUAGAUAGAGAGAUAGAAAAUAAAAGGGAGGAAGAAAACAAGGGCAGCAUAUAUAAGAAAAAGAGUUGCUGCCAGCACAGGUUGUGCCUGAUUUAUUGUCGAUGGCUGGGGUAGGUGGCUUUAUAGUUGUUGGUUUGUAUUUUGAGUUUUUCAUUCUUUUUGUUUUUACUUUUGUUGUUGUUGAGUUUUCAGUCUUUUUGUUUUCACUUUUUACAACUUAAGCUAGUAGGUAUAGUUAGGGAAUAAUGGUGGGUUGGAAGAUGGUUAGAUUUUUGUAAAUUUUAUGGUGGGUGAAAUUAUAACGUGGAUGAGAAAAUAAGAUAAUGAAGUGGGCCUAGUAGCACUAUUUUUUAUACAAGCAAUAGUGAGGGUAGGGUAGUUGGAUUCUUGUCUGCAAGGAUGUAUAUUUUGACUAAUUGAGUUACACGUCAUUUGCUAUCACAACAAAACCACGAGUAUUCUAAUGAUCUUAUAUAACCCCAAUAACUUAUUCAUUUUGUAAAGUCAUCUCCAACUUAAGGAGCAAAACAUAGCCUUGUCUAGAAUUAUAGGCUUGCAAAAAAAAUUAUUUUUAAAUGAACAGUGUCAUACCAUAUUCAUACACUAUCUCCAACUGAAUUUUAAGUUCGUAAUAAUUUUUCGGACAUUCUAUCCAUUUAAUGUCUCCUUUAAGCCCUUGUGAAGGCUUGAUGUCAUUUGUUCAACCUCGGAUAAAGUUGUUUUUCAAUUGGGGGACUCAGUAUUUUUUGGGCAUACUAGUCCAAAGUCCUUCACUUGAUUGACAAAUACCCUUGAUACUAUCUUUAGAGGUCUACCUAUAAGCCUUGGAAAGAACUUCAUCUUCUUUUGGGUCCAACAUUUUUAUCUUUUUUUUUUAAUUAUUAUUUUUGCUUAUAUUAUGAGAGGUUAGGUUUACAUUAGUGUAACUUCUUUUUUCGUUGUCAAUAAAAUUUUAUUUUUCAAAAAAUAAAAAAAAAUUAUUUUAGUUGAAACUUGACAAUGAUGAUUUAAAAAAUCAACGGUUGUUAUUAAGUUAGUCCAGAAGUUUAAAUUAAUUAGUGUUCUAAAAAUCGGUUUCGGUGGUGUCUAGGCGCUUGGUGAGCUUCUAUGGUGAUUUUGGGCAAAACGUUCAAUAAAAUCAAAGAGGGUCUAGUCGGCUGCCUACGCGGCACUAGGUGGUCUAGGAGGUGCUAGGCGGAAUGCUAGUCGGAACCUAGAAACCCAGUUACCCAGUAGCUUUGUGCAAAACCAGAAACCCAGAAGCUCUGUGCAAACCAACAAGCUUUCAUCUCACACUUGAAACCCACAAGCUCUGUGCAUCCUACAAACCCAAAAGCUUUGAGAAACCUCAAAAUUCCUAAUUGCACAUUCAUACACUACAUGCCAUUCAUCGACCUCCAUAUCAAAAGAGAGACCCAACAAUUUAUGAAGCCAAAACAGAGAAACCCAGAUAGAAAGAUUCAAACCCCAAAAUUCAAAAACUCGGAACGAUGUUUUCAAACCCAAUUUUAAACUCAUUAGGGUCUCUACACUUUAUUUACAAUUUUUCAAAUUCUCAAUACAUUAUAAGUAAAUGUUUUUUCAAGUAUAAAUAAACACUUAUUUAUAAGACAUUUUAUAAAUUUACUUAAAUCCGUCUAGUCCGCCUAAGCGUUAGGCCCCUGCCUACCGCCCGACUAGCGUCUAAAGUCUUUUAGAAUUUUGAAAUUAAUCAAUUAUUUUUAAUAAUGGGUUUGGUGUAGUGUGCUGAAGUCGUAUUAGGGGGAGGGGAUAAGUGGGAUGGAUGGGACCGCGGGAUGAGGAUAGACUAAUUCAAACACUUAUGUAAGCUCAACAAAAUUGGACUCUAGCUGAAGUCAAUGAGACGUUACAAAUAUUUCAAAAGUGCAAUUUGUGAACAUUCCCUCAUGUCAAUCUUUUCCAAAUUUGCUAGCUUACCAAUGUCCAUGGGAAGGCAUCUCAAAUUUACACACUGGGAAAUGUCAAUGUACUUCAAGCAACGUAACUCGCAAAUGCUGGCCGGAAGCGCCUGCAGUGCCGGACACGCAUAUAGCCUUAGGAUCUGUAGAGAUUGCAGCUUUCCCAAAUCAGCUGGGAGCUGGUAUAGGCUGUGGCAGUUGGUUACGCUCAAGUUCUUGAGCGAAGGCAUUGCGCAAAUGCAUGAAGGCAGCUGGAAUAAGGCAUCGCAAUGAUCGAUUGUGAGCUCUGUCAGCCGAGGAAAGGUGGAUUGAUCAAGGCUAUUACUGAUCUUGCAUAGGAUUAUAUAGAUUUUCCUCAGAUUUUUCAGGGGGAUGGUAGAUAAUUGAGGGACAGAUACUUUUUAGAGCCAGAGGCUUCUCAAAUUGGAAAAUUUGAGAAGACUGAAAAGCCAUUUAGGAUGGCAUUUGAUGUACUGUAAUUCAUGAUUAUCAAUGCCCUCAACUUUGGCAUGUUUUCAAUAAAAGGAGGCAAAAGGUACUCGUUGUCGGAUGAAAAAUUCAAAAUCAGCACUUCACAUUUGGGAAACUCCAUCUGGAACCAGUCCAUCUCUUUCAUUUCACCUGCAUUAUCGAGUGAUGAAUCGGUUUAAAUCAGCACGAAAGAGUAAACAUAAAAAAUAACCUCAUAAUCAAUAAAGGCAAUUACUAAUGGCUGAUCUGAAUCCCUCUCCCAUUCUCUUGGAAGUUCAGUCUCUCUUCCUGGCAUAAGCAAUCGACCGCGUUCGUUCACGCUGCCAUCAUUUCUCAAAUGAAGAGCAAGGUCCCUCAGCACAUCAUGCUGUGUAACAGAUAUGUCGUAGCAACUGCUAUAUAUGUCUCCAUCUCUGCAACAUCAAUAUAUACAAAGGGUUCAAAUCAGAAACUAAUCACAGUCAAAGUAAAAGAAACAAAGUACCGAACUUUAAGCACGUACCUUGCAUCUUUCACCAGGGUGAGGAGAUUUUUGUUCGAAAGCUCGACAAGAAUAGCAAACGCUUCUUCUUCGUCGAUGCAUGUAUUUCAACCCACAUAUUGGUAAGAACAUCAAGAGGGACCUUCUUGUCUUCUGGAAACGCACCCAAACCCAAGAAACAUGAUUUAACUUGUUUGGAUAAGCAGAUUGUUCUCAUGGGACUCACAAAAUGCUUCCCCUUUCGACAACUUGCUCCUUGCAUUUGCCCAACACAAUUCAGCCUGUUCUUUCAAUGAAGCUCCAAUCACUUUGAGAGCCAAAGGAAGACGCUUACAGUCGUUAACAAUCUAAAUUUCAAGAAAACAAUCAGUUACCGAUGUAAAGAAACAUAAAAUAACCCAUUUUGAUUAGCAGAAAAUGGAGAUUGGAGGCUUGUGGCCACGUUUGGCGGUAGAACUUAGACCAACUCCAACCUUUGGAGUAAGUUCUAAAUUUUCUCAUCUAUUCCCCCCUCAUUUCAUUCCAACCCUUGUUAUAAAAUGCAUUUAUUUGGGCUCAUUGUAUUAAACCGGCCCAUAUUUCUCAUUCCAAUUUUGUAGCCUUGUGUUAUCGUUGUUAUUAGCCUCGGAAGAAAAACCAGAAAUUGUUUCAUAGAUUUGCAGCAAGCUUCCUCUGCCAAGGGAUCCGGCAGCUUUAAAUCUUCUUUUGGGUCAUCACACUUACAAGCUUGGCAAGAUAAAGCACCACUGAAAAUAAAGGUUCAUUGCAUAUAUAAUAUGGUUUCAUAGUCUGAUUUGCUAUCUUACGAUAUAUCUCUUUAUUUUUAUCUCUUACACACAUUACGUUGUAUGCUCGAAUCUCCUCAAUGACGUUGUAAUUUAGACUAUUUUAUUAAUAGUUUUGUAAUAAUUGAGAAAGAUGCAUAAACCAAGUUAAUAACUGGUGUUGAAUAUUCUUUGACUCAUUGUAUAAAAUUUCUCAUGACAUGAAUUGAUAAUUUUAGUUUUUCUUGAAAGAUCUUUUUUGCGAAAAUUCAGUCAAAUCAAAAGAGUUUACUUAUUUAACAGGGAUUGGACUAGUAGAGAGACGUAAUAUUUUGUUGCUCAGUACAAUAAUGAAAUAGUUAAAUGAUUUUCCCCCUUCGCCAGUGGCUUGUUCGGACUAUGUUAAUUUCUAUGGCUUCCGCUUAUUAAAUCAAUGUGAACUCGGCAUAUAGAUUAUGUUGGCUACUGGUUUCCGCUUCUCAAAUUAAUAUGCAUCUCGGAAUACUUGUUUAUCUCACUUUCUUUUUUUUACUUAACCCUGUGAUGUUGCUCGAUCUGCUUUGUAGGUUUAGACCUUUAGGUUUGAAUCUUUGGGUUUGGAUUUAGAAGUGUUAGGUUUCAUGUUGCCCUGUUCUUUUCAUGUCUCUUUAUUGUUUUCGUUUCUAGAGGUAGAAUUUAUAUCCCUUUCUUCUUUACGUAUGUUUUUUAUAUCUUUUUUGCUUAUAUUAUAGGAGGUUAGGUUUACAUUAGUGUAACUUCUUUUUUCGUUAUCAAUAAAGUUCCCUUGAAUGUUUUGCAAAAAAGAAAAAAAAAUAUUUUAGGUGAAUCUUGACAAUAAUGAUUUAAAAAAUCAACAGUUGUUAUUAAGUUAGUCCAGAAGUUUAAAUUCAUCGAUGUUCUAAAAAUCGACCUAGACGUUUAGUGGUGAGCUUCCGUGACGAUUUUGGACAAAAUGUUCAAUAAAAUCGGGGAGGGUCUAGUCCGCCGCCUAGGCGGCACUAGGCGGUCUAGCGGUGCUAGGUGGAAUGCUAGUCGGAACCUAGAAACCCGGAAGCUUUGUACAAAACCAAAAACCCAGAAGUUCUCUGUGCAAACCAAGAAGCUUUCAUCUCAAACUUGAAACCCAUAAGCUCUGUGCAUCCUACAAAACCAAAAGCUUUGAGGAACCCCAAAGUUCCUAAUCGCACAUUCGUACACACCAUUCAUCGACCUCCAGAUCAAAAGAAAGACCCAACAAUUUAUGAAACCGAAACAAAGAAACCCAGAUAGAAAGAUUCAAAACCCAACAAUCAAAACUCAGAACGAUGGUUUGGAACCCAAUUUUAAAAAUUUACAAAUGAAAAAUGUGAAUUUAUGAAUUUUCUUCAAAAAUACUGGUUUUUUCUCAAACCUAGAUCGCCGAACUUUGAUAAGUACGAAGAGAGAGAAACUAAUGCACUGCAACUUUUUUUGUGGGACUAGACUAGAAGUAGGAAAGUGUUGAAAAGUCAAAGAAGCAUUUUUUUCCUUCUAUUUUUUUAUAUUGUGUUUGGUGAAUAAGUGAUGAUAUUUUGGCUUUAAGCUGGAGGGUAUUGAAGCUGAUAUUCGAUGUACCUUAUGCUUUGCAUGUCUCUUUUCCCCAAUAAACUCAUUAGGUCUCUACAAUUUAUUUACAUUUGUUCAAAUUCUCAAUACAUUAUAAGUAUAUGGUUUUUUAAGCAUGAAUAAACACUUAUUUAUAUGAUAACCGUCUAGACGCUAGAUCUCUGCCUAUCAUUCUAACUAGCACCUAACGUCUUUUAAAAUCUUGAAAUGAAUCAAUUAUUUUUAAUAUUGGGUGUGGUGUAGUGUGCUAAAGUCGUAUUAAGGGGAGGGAAUAAGUGGGAUGGAUGGAAUCGCGGGAAGAGGGUAGACUAAUUCAAACACUUAUGUGAGCUCAAUAGAAUUGGACCCCAGCUGAAGUCAAUCAGAUGUUACAAAUAUUUCAAAAGUGCUCGUCCUAACUUUUGGCUUCAAGCUAAAGUCCUUGUGAAAUAAGUCACUUUGUUGCUUCUUAGCCGCCUAUCAUCAGUUGACUGUCACUAAAGAGGGCACUUCCGACCACUUCUGACGUCUUCAAAGAAAACACAACCACCGAAACACCACAUGUAGAAUAAUCCUCUAAUUUUUUUUUCCUUAUUAUUUGAAUCGAUCUCCUCUUUAGAUCUCUGUAUCUGAAGCUUAAGAACAAGAAAAUCCGAGCCGUUGCAAAGAACGAUUCGCACCCUUAGUUUGUGUGAGGUGGAUCGGUGAAAUAGACUAAUGGGAGUUGCAAAAUUUAAAAUGAAUCGUCUGGAUCUCCUGAUCCUUAACUCCGGACACAGAAAUCUGAAGAGGAUCUCAAUUCCUAUUAUUUAACUUCAUAUGAACAAAUGAUUCACCAUUUACAUCAAAAUCCAUACAAAUUAAUAUUGGUAAUGGUGCAACAAUUUGCUCAUUCAUCGAGCCAGUCCAGAUCGAAAUGUUUCUCCACCACCUGAACAUGAAGCUCCGGCAAUGCCUUCUCUGCGUCUCUCCACAUCCAAGAAAUAUCCUCGUCGCACACUACGAGGCGAAGAGACUGUAAAAUUGCAGCGGAUUUCGGUAGAUUGCUAAUUUGUGAACAUUCUCUCAUGUCAAUCUUUUCCAAACUUGGUAGUUUACCAAUGUCCAUGGGAAGGCAUCUCAAAUUUACACACUGGGAAAUGUCAAUGUACUUCAAGCGAAGUAACUCGCAAAUGCUGGCUGGAAGUGUCUGCAGUGCCGGACACGCAUAUAGCCUUAGGAUCUGUAGAGAUUGCAGCUUUCCCAAAUCAGCUGGGAGCUGGUAUAGGCUGUGGCAGUUGCUUACGCUCAAGUUCUUGAGCGAAGGCAUUGCGCAAAUGCACGAAGGCAGCUGGAAUAAGUCAUCGCAAUGAUCGAUUGUGAGCUCUGUCAGCCGAGGAAAGGUGGAUUGAUCAAGGCUAUUACUGAUCUUGCAUAGGAUUAUAUAGAUUUUCCUCAGAUUUUUCGGGGGGAUUGAAGAUAACCGAGGGACAAAUACUUUUUCGAGCCAGAGGCUUCUCAAGUUGGUUAAGUUUGAGAAGACUGAAAAGCCAUUUAGGAUGCAAUUUGACGUACUGUAAUUCAUGAUUAUCAAUGCCCUCAACUUUGGCAUGUUUUCAAUGAAAGGAGGAAGAAGGUACUCGUCAUCUGAUGAAAAAUUCAAAAUCAGCACUUCACAUUUGGGAAACUCCAUCUGGAACCAGUCCAUCUCUUUCAUUUCACCUGCAUUAUCGAGGGAUGAAUCCGUUUAAAUCAGCACGAAAGAGUAAACAUAACAAAUAACCUCAGAAUCAAUAAUGCAAUUACUGAGACACGUUAAUACCGGUAUGAACUGAUACAAUCUUCGCGUGAAAUGGCUGAUCUGAAUCCCUCUCCCAUUCUC
rnacentral:lncRNA from 1 species